GUGAAGUCGGUCAAGAUUCCCAAUAUAUUAUCAACAUCAUCAAUUUAAGAAAGAAAUAUAUGUUAUGCUUGCCAAAAAAAAUGUUUUAUGUUAAAUUUAUCUUUAUUUUAAAUUACACGAUUAACUAAACGUAAUUCUGUAAUGUUGAUUCUAUUUGACGAAAAAUUUAUUUAAAACAUUGUUAGUAAACAUAUUUAAAGUCAAAUAAAAAAUAAACUCUUAUUUUUAACGUUAAAAAUUAAUUUUUAACAUAACUUUUUUAAUAUAAUUAAAAUAAAUUGUGAUUUUUCGGGCAGUUAAUUUGAUCUUGGCCCUCACAAUUAUUUUCAUUAGUUUAUUGGAAGUGUGAUAGUGAAAGUCGUUGUUUUUUUUUUGUUUACAAAUACACUAAAAUAAUAAUUUUUUUAAUAUUAUUUUAACAUCAACACAUCAAAACAAUUCAAAAAAAUUAAACAAAAAAAUUUAAAAUUUAAUAAAAAGUUGAUUUCACCGCAACCCUAAAAACACCCUAAACCACCUGAUUCAAACAUGGGACCGGAGUUGCAUUCAAUAGAUGCAUGAAGUGAGUUGUGUGAGGGGUGCUUACCGUCCAUAAUACUUCUUAAAAGAGAGGCUAAUAUCACAUAUUAUCGUUUGGGAAUGCGUUGCAAACCGCGUUCCCAAAAAAAAUUAAUUUUUUUGUUUGUUUUGAAUCGUUUUAACGUGCUAAUCUCAAAAAUGAUUUUUUUAAAAAAUAAAAAAUAUAUCAUUUUGAUACAUUUCAGCACGAAAAGUUAUUUGAAAAGCAACAACAACCACACUCGCACAACCAAAAACAAAAUUGAGACAUCUAACUGCUCGCCUCUGGCUUAGUUAAUAGAGUUUUUUUGGUGUGUUUGGGACUAAAUAGUAGUAAUUAGAUAUGAGGUCCUCCAACUUGUUGUGUAAACUGUCGCGGGGGCGACAUCGUCUGGCGGCGGCGAUUGCUUUUUAUCGUGCCUCCUGUGUGAGGUGUUGUGUGUUGGAAGGGUUUUUGGAUUUUAUCAUAAAAUUAUGAUUACUGUUUAGGAGUCGCCACCUAGUAUUUUGGUUACUAGGAACCUAUGGUUUGCAAGAUUCUGGGUAAGGGACUUCUUGUGCAAGAGGAAGACGAAUCACCCCCAGUACACCCUACCUAAGGUAAGCUGCAUUGUUGUUUGAUUGUUUUUUCUAAGUCAGGUUUCUAUUUGUUGGUCUUUUCUAAGGCUCAAGGCAGAUCUCUCUUCAUGAGAGAGUCUCUACCUUAUUGGGUUAAAUCCUAACCGUUCUAAAGUCUGAAUUUUAGCAUCGUACUUCUACACCUUGUAUCUUUAAUACCUGAGGGUAUUCUUUAUCGUGUAAUUUUAAAACCCACAAAUAUUAAAGUCUACAUCUGGAUCCUAAAAAAAAUUUGAAAAAAAGAUUUUUGACAUGUUGGCCAAAUCCUAAUGGAUAAUCAUAAACUGGUUACGAUAUCCAUUUUUGAAUUUUUUUUAAACAUGAAAAAGAUGCAAUUUUUGUUGUUUUUUUUUAUGAAAAAUAUGCUUGAAAAAAUUUCAGGGUUUGGCCGUAUGCAACAAAAUAUUUUUCCUUUUUGAAAAUGUUUUGAAUUUUUUUUUGAAAUAUUUUGAAGAAAACAGGGUAUUUUAAUACCGAAUUUGUAUUUUAUAGUGCAAAUAUACAACCCAAUAUUAUGAAAAAUUGUUGGAAAAAUAUUUUUAAAAAUCACAAAUUUUUUUUAAGGAUUUUUGAAUAUAUAUAUAUAUAUAUUCCAUCCAUUGUUCAUGCAUGAACAGUGGAACGGGGAGACGAAGGCGAAGCAAGGGAGGCGGACCACCUGGUGUGGUGGUGAUGGCUGGCUGGCGGGGAGGAUGACCUGAAGUCGGCGGUGAAAACGGUGGUGGUGUUGGCUGGAGCGGCUGCAGCUGGAAGAGGAAGAAAAGGAAGAAAUCUCUAGAGGGGAGAAGGAGGAGAGGAAGGAGAGGAGAGAGACGCAGUGGCUUCUCUACCACUGGAGAACCAUCUGUUGGUGCAGGAGAAAGGUUUCUGUGGGGUGUUCAAUGACAGAGGAAGAAAGAAGAAGAAGUAGUAGAAGAAAAUCUGCAGCGGGGAGAAGGAGAACCUCGCAGUUGCUGCCGCUAUCGCCGGUGAGGAUUUGUGUUCGUGGAGAGGUUGAGCAGCCGUCUGUUGGUGGAGAAGGAAUGUUUUUGUGGGGUCUUCAGGGCUGAAGAAGCAACGGGGGGGGAGAGAAGAGAGAACGUUGGCUGGAAGAAAAACAUGGGAGAAGCUGAUUUUUUUGGCUUAUUUUGGACCCGAUUUUCUCCUCCUUCAGGCCAUCAAAUCCACCUCUAUUUAUAGGCGGUGGAAGAGGGCAAUCUUGUCUAUACUGGAGAAAAAUUGCAGCCCUUGAUUCAAAUGGGAAGGAUCCCAACCAUUGGCUCAAAUCUGCAGCUGCAGGCUGCCUGAGUUGGCCUCUUUGGGGUGGUGCCACGUCCGUUUAUUUGAUAGUGAGCCAGUGACGACCAUACCCAGACGUAGAGGGAUGUCUGGUAAUCAAUUUCAUGCAAGGUUUGGCAAAUUUGGUGGACGUUAGGUGCAUUAAAUGCACCUGCAAAUUAGGUGACUGAACCAGUUUUUUUGGAAAAAAAUGCAAAAGAUAAUGAACAGUGACCAGACGACGCGUCGUCUGGUCCUCUUUUUUUUUUAAUGUAAAACGGCGUUGUUUUGGAUUGAAUUAGGGAUUUUAACUGAUUUUCAAUGUAGUCCUUCAUCUUUUAAUUUCUUUCAAUUGAGCCCCUAAUUGUCCAUAAUCUUUUGAUUUAAUGCAAUUAAGUCCCUGAUGAACUUCAAUUGGAACCCUGAAGUUACGAAUUUCGUCAAUUUAACCCCUAAUUGACUGUUAGACUUUUAAUUUCUUCAAUUUCACCCCCGGUUUUUGUCAAUUAAGCCCCUAAAUUCUGGCGCCUUUUGCAGAUUGGUCCUUGGCUGUCAAUUUCUUCAAUUUAACCCCUAAUUGACCCAAAACUUUAAUUUUCUUGCAAUUUGGCCCCUAAUUUCAAUCAUUGAACUUGGUAAAAAUUAAAUUUGGUCUCUUAAAAUUCCAAUAUUCUCAAUUAAGCCCAAAUUAGGCUCCCAAACUUAAUUUUUCACCAAUUAAGCCCCAAAUAAAAUUAAUUUGACCCAUUUAAAGUAUAAUUAAGUCCUUGCACUUAAUUAAAUCCUUUAAUUGGACCUAAAUUAAUUCUUAAACAUAAUUAAAAUUCAAUUUGACCCAUGAUUAAAUCAAAUUGGCCUAUUAAAAAUUUAAUUAUGUCCUUGGACUUAAUUUUUAUGAAAAUUUGUCCAAUAAUCAUUUAAUUUGACCUUGAAUUUGCAUUUUUUUCUCCAUUUUGGGUAUAAUGGGGUACAAUUAGGUCUUGAAUUUCCUCCAAAAAAAUUGCAGCUUGAUUCCCCGGCCUGCUUUCUCCACCUUGCCAGCCUUUAUUUUUUUAUAUAUAUUUUUAUUUUGAAAAAAAUGAAUUUUGGGGAAUAACCCAGAAUUGAGUUAUGACAGUUGCCCCCUCUUUACAAUGUUUGCGAUAGAAAGUCUCGUAAGAGACUUUAGAUAAUAAGCGUUGUAAAGAAAAAUAAGGAUGGGAGAUAAUUGACUCGUCAUAUUUAGAAAUGAUGAAUCCUUUUGAGCACUAGAAAGUGCACUCAGAGUAAAAACUGGAAGAUUUUUCUUUUGAAAAUUCAGAGAUUUUGAAGUGGUCGAAUUGUCAUGGGUGACCUACCCAGAGAAAAUUGAAAAAAGGUUUUUUUGAGGUGGUCUUAUUGUAAUAGGUGACCUACCCAGGUGAAAAAUGCAAAGAUUUUUCAAAGAUUUUUUUUCAAAAUGGUGAAAAAUGCAGAGAUUUUUCAAAGUGGUCUUGUUGUAAUGGGCGACCUGCCCAGAUGAAAGGUUUUGAAGGUUGCAAAAAUUUUUCAAAGUGGUGAAAAAUACGAAGAUUUUUCAAAGUGGUCUUAUUGUAAUGGGUGACCUGCCCACGUGAAGAGUGAAAAAUACAAAGAUUUUUUAAAGUGGUGAAAAAUACAAAGAUUUUUCAAAGUGGUCUUGUUGUAUUGGGUGACCUGUCCAGGUGAAAAGUGAAAAGAGUUUUCAAAGUGGUGAAAAAUGUGGAGAUUUUUUAAAGUGGUGAGAAAUGCGAAGAUUUGUCAAGAUGGUUUCAUUAUAAUGGGCAACCAGCCCAAAUGAAAGAUGAAAAGAGUUUUCAAAGAGGUAUGAUUAUGAUGGGUGACCUGCCUAGGUGAAAAAAUGAAAUGUAGGUAUGAUUAUGAUGGGUGACCUGCCUAGGUGAAAAAAUGAAAUGUCUUGAAGAGACGACAUGAUAGGGCUCAAAGACGCACUAUUCAAGCGAUGGAAGCUCAAUAGAGCGUUCGAAAAGAGAUAGUACUCAAAAGGGAAUGAAGGCUGAAAAACGUACUUGAUAGGAGGUAGGGUUAGAAAACACACUACCUAAGAGGUGAGGGCUCAAAGGCGCACUCGAAAGGAGGUAGGGUUAGAAAACGCACUAUCCAAAGUGGUCGAGGGCUCUAAGGCGCACUUAAAAAGAGGUAAGGUUAGAAAACGCACUACCUAAGGUGGUCGAGGGCUCUAAGGCGCACUCAAAAGAGGCAGUGUUAGAAAACAUACUACCCAUGAGGUGAGGGCUCGAAGGAGCACUCAAAAGGAGGUAGGGUUAGAAAACGCACUAUCCAUGAGGUGAGGGCUUGAAGGCGCACUCACAAGGAGGCAGGGUUAGAAAACGCACUACCUAAGGGGUGAGGGCUUAAAGACGCACUCAAAAAGAGGUAGGGUUGAAAACGCACUACCCAUGAGGUGAGGGCUCGAAGGCGCACUCAAAAAGAUGUAGGGUUGCAAAACGCACUAUCCAUGAGGUGAGGGCUCAAAGGCGCACUUGAAAAGAUAGGGAUAUGUGACCUACAAAAUAGAUAAUGGGAUUUUUUUACAUCUGAGCCACCAGAGGGUUUAGGUGGUGAAGUUUUCUUUUCCCACAUGCAUUUGUUAAAAGAGUUAGAGAAUAUUUAAUGUUGUGUACAGGAGGUAAGGCAAAGCUACUAUAAAAUAUUUUAGGAAUAACUAUAAGGGCUAAAUUGUAACCAACCCCAAGACUAAUGGUCUAAUUACCAUAUCUUUUGGCAAAAGAUUCUAUGGUAAUGGUGUAUGAACAAAUUCUUAGAUUUAAUUUGGUUUAUAUAUUAAUUUAAAUUAAUAUUGAUUAAUUAAUGUUUGACAUGUAUUAUGAUUUACGCAUGAGUUUUUUGAAGGUGGAGUUAGAUGUUGAAGUGUCCACUACCAGAUUUUACAGUUUUAUCUACAGAAAUUCCUGUCAAUAUUUACACUCACAUUCCGUCGGUAAGUUUUUUACCGAUGGACUCAUGGAUUUAUGCAACCAUUCCAUAAUAGUUAGCCAAAAUCUUUUAAAAAAUAAAAAAACUUGGUUGCGUCUGCAUUAGGUUCUUUAUCUAUUGUUGAACAUUGAUCAACAUAACCUUGAUUCAUUCUCAUUGCAUACAUAAUCAAAUCCCUAUAAGGAUUACUAUUGUCAUCUACAACUCCAUACAUGUUGCUAACACUAAAAGUUGACUUAAUCAUCCUCUCUACCACGAUAUGUUAAGAAACCUAUGGUUCUCCGUGUGCAUACCAACACAAGUAUUUCUCUAUGAACUCUUUUUAUAGAACAUGAAUCGUUACAACAUCUAAAUCGAUUUUUUUAUUCUUACACCUCUUACAUGGACAUUUAAUACCGCAUCUACUAAUAUUUCUCAAGCUAGAUAAUGUAUAAUUAAUAAAACCUUAAACCCCAUUACAAUAAUCCAUCAUCUUCAACCCCUGGGGUAAAUCUCGAUCCAUCCAUUAUUUAUAUCAAAUCUAUUUAAAUAUAUAAUGAUGACAACAUUUAUUAAUUAACUAUAUUAACUAAAUAAAUUUUCAAAAAUAUUGGUUUAGCUCAAUUUUAUUCAAUCUAUUUUAAUAGUUCUCAUAAUUCAUUAUCAAUUAUAUAUCUACAUAAAUUCAAAUUUCUACACAUUUAUAACAAAUUAUAACUCUACAAUAAAAUUAACAAAAUAUAAAAUGAUCCUAUUAAAUAAGCCAUUAUUUAUUUCAUCAUAAAACACUUGAGUAAAAAAUCAAUAUAAGUUUCAUCAAUUUACAAACAAAUAUAAUUUUACAAGAUCUAAAACAAACAAUAACAUGUGUCAUAAUCCAAUUUUUGAAUUUUUCAAAAACAAAUAAUAAAUAAUAAUAAUUAAAUAAAUGAAUUGAAGAUGGGGUUAAAAUAACACAAAUUAAAAGUUUGGGGACUAAUAAGGAUCGAAUUAUAAUUUUGGGAAUUUGAUAAAAAAAAUUAGAAGAAUUGAAAGUUUGAGGAUUUAAUUAAACUUUGAUUUAAUUAAUUAAUACAAUCAAGAGUUUAAUUGAAGAAAUACCAAAGUUUAGGGUUGAUUUGGGGUUUGAGGAUCAAAGUGAAUAGAUGGUGAUACUAUAGGGGGAUUAAUUGAUUUUUCUAGGGGUAAUUUUGAAAGAAUUAAAAGUUAAAGAGUCAACUAAAAAUUGAAUUGAUUAAAUUAAAAACCAACGAUAGUUAUGUAAAUAGCACCCUAAAUGUCAGAAGUUUAGAAGGCAAAUUGGAAAUAUCCAUUUUUGUCAAGAAAACGUCGCCGUUUCCACUAUUCAUCGCCUUCUUUCAUCCCAGGGGCCGAUUCAAUUGGAAAAUCCAGGGAAAUGUGCCAAGGACAGUCCCCACGACUCUUACCUCAGCUGCCCACUAUCCUCCACGAUACCAUUUCAAAAGGCCAUGUUGUCGUGACCAACAGUCCUGCAAUGGCAGGAAUGCUAGUCCCCUGUUUUCCUCAAACAGGAACGAACGUGCUUCGGCACGAAGAGAAGGCUUUCUCUGGCUUUAUAGAAGCCAAAGAAAGGCCAGAGGGGAAGGCAACAGAAGGAGAGAGCAAAAACACUAAAACAAUGAAAAACCCAGAAAACGAACAAUAACAGGAAGAUAGAACCAGAGAAAACUAGCACGAGAGGGAGACAGAGACAAGCAGAAGGAAAGAAUAUAAGCAGAGGACAUCGUCGAGACCAGAACCAGCGUUGCCACCGUCUUCGUCAUUUCUAGAACCAGGUACGCUCAUUCACCUUAUCAUUCUUUGCAAAUAAUAUUUGAACACUGUGCGACGGUAAUUUUAAUUACCUUCACAUUAUUCAUGCACACGUGACUAAAUUCACGCAUGCUUCUUGCUGCCCAGCUAGGUCAGGUUGGGCUGACUGAGUCCAACCCACAUGAGUUAGGCCAAACCCACAAAAAAAUAAAAAAAUAUGUAUGUAUUGAUUUAAAUUUAGUUUAUUGAUUUAUUUUCUAACGUUAGAGCUAGGAAUACCAAAUGUUUUUUUUUCUUUUACUACGUAAUAUUUACCAACGCUAGAAUUGAAAGUAUUCAUAGUUGAAUAUUCAUUGACACUAGGGUUAGGAAUAUUACGAGUAGACCAUCAUAGCAAAAUCCAACAAACUCAGCAAUUUAAGACAAAACCAACAAUACAGUCUACCACAGGUAGGACGCUUAAUGAGUGAUAGUAUCUGUUGACCAGGUAGGGUUUCUAGUGAUCAUAAUACUAGGUGGCAACUCCUUAAACAAGACAUUUUCCUAUCAAAGAACAAGAUGCCAGAAAUAUGUUCUUUCUCCACCAAAUUGAAUUUUUAAAGAUUGUCGCAAUCUCGGGUGCGAUAACAUGUACAAAUCAUAAAUCCAUAUAGCAGAAUUGUAUGAGGAAAAAAUUAUAAAACAAGUAAACACCUAAACAAAAUACAUAUACUACAAAAAUAUGCAAAAAAAUAACAUUUAAAAAUUAUGUUUAAAUUAAAAAAAAGAUAGAUUUGCUUACUUAAGGUGGAGAAUCCUUAAUAAAAUUUAAAUCAGAACAUGAAUGUUGACAAACUGAGUGUUGUGGUGGCAAGAUUUGUUGUGGGAGAUUGAAUUGUGUUGAGAUUGAGGGGGUGACUAUUUGCAGAAAACAUGUAUAAGGAAGAAGGAGAAAGGGGGGAGGGGGGAGGGGGGAGGGGAUUGAUCUCCUGGUCAUAAAUAAAAUAUUAUCAAUGGAUUUACCAACAAAAUAAUCUUGUCAGGCAUUUCCUUGGUAAUUCUAUCGGUAAAAAUUGUCACAUCACCAUAAGAUUUGACUUUUUGAAUCCCUUUGUAAUAGCAUUUGUAAUUUUAUUAGUCUAUACCAGGGGAUUAUUUUUGUCGGUAUAUUUACGGAUGAACUUUACUAUCCGAUUUAUUCCUUUGGUAAAACUGUCGCACCCUCCCGAGAGCUCGACGUCGCGGCGACACUUCCUUCGUAGCGGGGAUUCGAUGUUGGGGUCUUUCUGUUGUGAAAAAGGGAGUCGCCACCUAGUAUUAUGGUCACUAGGAAACCUAACUGGUCUUUCAGAGAUUCUAAGGCAAGGGACUGGUUGCGUAAAGGGAAGGUUUUAACACCCCUAGUACGCCCUACCUAAGGUAAGCUGCUUGGUGUUUGAUUUGCCUUAUAAUUGUUAUGGUGUUGAUGUUCUCUAAUCCCAUCAGUUUCCUAGGAUAAGUCUGCUCUGAUGAACGAAAUCUAGGGUGCUUUAAAAACCUAUUUUUUUUGUCUCGUAAACCAUGGAGUAAAAAAAAUUGAAAUGUCCUCGAUUAUAAUCAAGGCUUCUUUCAAGGAUUUCUGCGGAUUUAUUAUUCCUAGAAAAUUAUUUUGGAUAUUUACCACUCCGGGUUUCUUUAUCCAAAUAUUAACAGUAAAUAAUAACAAAUUAUUCCCAAUAAUAUUUUGGAUAUUCGUCCUUUAAGGAUUUCUUUAUCCAAACAUUAGCGGUGAAUAAUAGAUGAAUUCCCCCCAAAAUAAGAUUUCUAUAUUUUUUGGAAUAUUGGCCAAUACCCUUUGGAGUUUUACAAACAUGUUGUCAAAUCCAGAAAUGCAAGAAAAAUGAUUUUUGUUAGUGUUUAAGAAAUCCAUGCGAAAACACAUUUUCAAAACUUCAAAUAUUUGUUUUUUAUAUAAACAAAACGUAAAAACAAUGUUAGGGUAUUGGCCGUAUAAAGGAAAACAAAACAUUUUUUAUUUUAUAUUUUUUUGAUGUCUCGACGAAAACCAGGUAUUUUCAUACCGGACUUGUAUCUUUACCAUAUAAAAAAUACAAGCAGAUAUUGAUAAACAAUGCAUCAACAAACUUUCAGAAAAUCACAUAUUUAAAUAAUUCUUUUAAAGAAAAUUUUCCGAACGGGCCAGACCCGGCCCACAAAGAGACUGGGCCGAAAUCAGCCCAACAUAAAAUGGGCCCACUUUCUACCGGGGCUGGACUCAGCCCAGCCCAAACCACAUGACUGGUUACUGUUCACUAUACAUUAACCGUGUUACUGUUCCUCUGCACAGUGACACGUUAAUUGAUUUUCCAGUUGCUGUGCACAUGCACAGUAACCCCGUUUUCACACAUUAACAAAGCAAACUGCAUGCAAAAGACCACGUUACUGUUCAAGUGAAUUAAAUUUCACUUGAACAGUGCCAAACACAAAGCAAAGAAUGCUCACGGUGCGGGAGGUGAAGAGAACAGACCUGGGAACGAAAGGAUAACGGUGGUGAAGGCUUGCUGGCUGGUCGAUCAGUGCUGCCGUCCGCUUCAGCUUUCCCCCCUUUAUUCUCUGUUGGUGUUCUUCUUCUGAGUUUCCUCCUCUACAAUCUUCGGUCCUCUCUCUUUCUUCGGGCUUUCUGCACUUCUUCUUCCCUGUUUCUGCAGGUUUUAUAUGCAAGAAAAUGAAAGCAGAGACCAAAAAAGAUGAUGAGCUGGUGCGGUUGGUGGUGUUGUUGCGGCUGCCCUUCCUCCUCGUUUGUGCAGCUGCUGGUGCGGUUGGUGGUGUUGCUGCGGCUGCUCUUCCUCCUGGUGUGGUUGUUGGUUUUUGAGAAGACGACGACGACGGUGGUGCUGCGAUAUCUCUUCGCCGUGUCCUCUGCUUCCGUUCAGUCAGCUUCCUCUUCUCCCCCUGUUACUCCCUCACUAUGUAUCAAUAAUCUCCUCUGCUUCCUUACGUUCUUCCCCUGUCUAUCUCUCUUUUCGUUUUUUUUCAAAAGGUUUCCCAACUCUCUGUUUCUUUCUUCCUACGCUGCCCAAUUCCCCUUCAUGUCUCCCUCCGUUCCUUUUUAUUUUUUAUGUUCUCCUCCCUUCUCCGUUUCCUUCCUGUUCUUCUCUUCUGUAUUCCCCUCUCAACAGUUCUUGGCGUGGCUGCUGGGAUGAAGAAAAUGAUGAGUUGGCGAUGGCGUUCUUCCCUCUGUUUUUGUUCCUGCUCCUUCUCUGUUUUCCCGUGGGCUGCUGCUUCGUUGCACCGCUGGAGGAGAAGGAACUGCUGAGAAAAAAAUGGUUGCUGCUGCUGUGGGGUUCAGUGGAGGCUGGUCUUAAGAGAAGCUGCUGGAUCGUGGGGGAGAAUCUGGUGGUGUUGGGAGGAAGCCGACGAUGCCUCACGGUGGUCAGGAAGGUGGCGGUGUACUUCCAAACGGUGGAGGGAGAGGUUACCAUUCUUCUCUUCCCCUCUGUUUUCCUCCUUUAACUGCCAUUUUCUUUCGUUCAAAACUUUCCCCCUCUCUUAGUUUUCCAGCCCUCUCUCCCCUUUUCAAAAAACUCUUCUCCGCCUCUUUUGUUAAUUAAUUGUGAGCGGUACACAAGUGGAGCGGGCUCUGUCGCGCAUGCACAUCGGGUGAGGUCUCCAAUAGGCGUGGCCUUGCAGGGCGCGCCUGCGCUGCUCUCCACUCCUGGGGUUUCGGGUUUUUGCAGCAGCAUGCGGGGAGAGAGAGGGGAACAGUGUUUCUUAAAACGACACUGUUUCCCUUCUUUUUCUUUUUUUUAUUAUUUAUUUUUUAUUUGUGGGGACCCAAAAAUGGGUUACAACAGAUGCCCCCUCUUUAUAAUGCUUACGGAGCAGCAGGGGUUUUGCGCAGUAAGUUUUAUAAAGAUAAACAAAACUGAACUUCCGAAACUGAUAUUGUCAAAGCUUGAUCUAUCUGAAACUGUCUUUACAGCAAUUCCCCUUCAACCCGAAACAACGAUCAAAACUUUGUCAUCUUGAGAUCCCAAUCUGGCGAUCCUCUAACUUCUAACUUCGAUUAUAUUAACUUGGAAUUCCAUUCUGAGAUCCCUUCUAGCGAUCUCUUUUAACCAAAAAAUUUAUAUUUGUAGCUUGACCAACCUGAAAUCCCAUCUGGCGAUUUCCUUUAGUCAAAGCUGAUAUCUGUGUUGCGGUUGGGCUAACCUGAGAUCCUAUCUGGUGACCUCUUUUAACCAAAACCAAAAAAAUCUAUUUUGCAGCUCGGUCAACCUGGGUUCCCAUCUAGCGAUUCUCUUUAACCAAAGCUGAAGUAUGAGAUCCCUUCUGGCGACCUCCUUUAAGCAAAACCGUAAAAAUCUUUUUUGCAGCUCUGUCAACCUGGAAUCCCAUCUGGCGAUUCCCUUUAACCAAAGCUGAUAUCGAUGUCGUUCUUCCUGAUGGCAGGGUUUGAACCUUUCGUUUUCUUUUUAAAAAAUUCCUAAUAUGUUCUUCUCACUUUAUUGUUGUUCAAGAACCAAAACCGUGAUUCUUUGCUAUCAUCAAUUCAAUGAUUCUUAAAAUUCCUAGAAAACUCCACGCUUUUCUAAGGAAUGGUCUCAAUAUCGGGUGACCAGCCCCUCUUAAAAUUCCUUAGAAAACUCCACGCUUUUCUAAGGAAUGGUCUCAAUAUCGGGUGACCUGCCCAUCUUAAGAUUCUUAGAAAACUCCACGCUUUUCUAAGAAACGGUCUCAAUAUCAGGUGACCGGCCCAUCUUAAAAUUCUUAGAAAACUCCACGCUUUUCUAAGAAACGGUCUCAAUAUCAGGUAACCAGCCCCAUCUUGAAAUUCUUAGAAAACUCCACGCUUUUCUAAGAAACGGUCUCAAUAUCAGGUAACCGGCCCCUCUUAAAAUUCCUUAGAAAACUCCACGCUUUUCUAAGGAAUGGUCUCAAUAUCGGGUGACCUGCCCGUUGUAAGAUUCUUAGAAAACUCCACGCUUUUCUAAGAAACGGUCUCAAUAUCAGGUGACCGACCCCUCUUAAAAUUCUUAGAAAACUCCACACUUUUCUAAGAAACGGUUUCAAUAUCAGGUAACCAGCCCCUCUUAAAAUUCUUUAGAAAACUCCACGCUUUUCUAAGGAAUGAUCUCAAUAUCGGGUGACCUGCCCAUCUUAAGAUUCUUAGAAAACUCCACGCUUUUCUAAGAAACGGUCUCAAUAUCAGGUGACCGGCCCCUCUUAAAAUUCUUAGAAAACUCCACGCUUUUCUAAGAAACAGUUUCAAUAUCAGGUAACCGGCCCCUCUUAAAAUUCUUUAGAAAACUCCACGCUUUUCUAAGGAAUGGUCUCAAUAUCGGGUGACCUGCCCAUCUUAAAAUUCUUUAGAAAACUCCACGCUUUUCUAAGGAAUGGUCUCAAUAUCGGGUGACCUACCCGUUGUAAGAUUCUUAGAAAACUCCACGCUUUUCUAAGAAACGAUCUCAAUAUCAGGUGACCGGCCCCUCUUAAAAUUCUUAGAAAACUCCAUGCUUUUCUAAGAAACGGUUUCAAUAUCAGGUAACCGGCCCCUCUUAAAAUUCUUUAGAAAACUCCACGCUUUUCUAAGGAAUGGUCUCAAUAUCGGGUGACCUGCCCAUCUUAAGAUUUUUAGAAAAACUCCACGCUUUUUCUUAAAGGUGGUCUCAAUGUCGGGUGACCUGCCCGUUAUAAGUUUUUCUAAAAGUAGUCUCAAUGUCGGGUGACCUGCCCGUUUUGAAUCUCAAAAGAAAUCAUCUUACCUCAAGGAAUGAAGCAGUGCUGGUUCACAAUUCUCCUUCGCGGUUCUAUUGACCUGAGAUUCAGUAUCUCAGUGGUUCCCAAAAACUUGGAACUAGUUUGGCUUUCGCCACCUUUCCUGCCAGGUUAAUGUUUAUGACAGUAUAGUAUGCAUGCUUUUGUUACCUAUUUUGGAAACAUAGGUCCCCCUUUCCAUUGUAGCCGUCUUUGAGCUCCUGUUUCCAUUUGUUUGUCCGACUCGUCCUCUUGAAACGGAAUAUGCUCCACGCACUAUACCUCCUAUCCUCUUGGUGGAGAGAUCUUCAGUUCCUUACGGGGCCCUUUCUUGCUCCAUUGAGUAUUGUCUUUUAUUAUAAGGAAAACUCAAAAGAUUUGGUUUUGUUCAUGAAAACUGAAACUUUCAAUGCAAUUGGCAAUUCUCAUAAAAGAUGCUUUUUUAGAAGUUUUUAUGAUAAUACCCCUUUGGGCUUUGGUUAACUUUGGGCCCCUAUGUGCACUUCGUGCGCUCCUUGCCCCCAGUGUGGUGUGCAAAAAUAUGCCAAGUUUAGAUUUGGUUUGAUUCUCUCUAAUUGAUGGAGUCAUCUCCUUAGUCAUGCAUUAAAACAGUUCUUUUAAGUAAAAGAUUUCAAAUGCUAUGAGAUCAUACGUUUUAUGAAAAAAAAAAAGUUCUUUACAAAGAGAAUUCAUGGCUGAACCUUUUUUAUUGACCGGGAAGCAUAGUAUUUCUUUAUAGAGUCAGCCUUCACAGAUUUAACUAGAUCUUCUCCAUCCAUUCUAGAUAACAAAUAAAGCUCCUUUCGAGAAUGUUUUCUUUAACAAGUAAGGGCCCUCCUUGUUUGGCGCCCUUUUACUUUGAUCCUUUUCUGGUAAAGGCUAUAUUCAGUACAAAAUCUCCUUCAUGGAAUCCUCGAGGUCGGACCUUCUUAUCAUAUGAUUAGGCCAUCUUUGAUGAUGACAGAUUGCAGCUAAUCUCUUUUCACUGAUCAUAUUCAACUAUUCAUAUCUAACUUUUACCCAUUCCACCUCUUCUAAAUUCAGAGUCUACCAAAACUCUUAAUGAGGGGUUUUCCACUUCCAAAGGCAUCACCGUCUCCAUUCCAUAUACCAACGUAUAUAGGGUGGCUCCUAUUGAGGUUCAGACUGUGGUGCGGUACGCGUAAAGGGCCAAUGGCAACAUUUCAUGCCAACACUUGUACGUGACUAUCAUCUUCUAAAUAAUCUUCUUGACAUUUUUGUUAGUAGCUUCUACCGCACCAUUCAUCUUUGGCCUACAUGGCAAGGAAUUGGGAUGCAUGAUUUUCCAUUUAGCGCAGAGUUCUAUUAUCAUCUUGCCAAUUAAAUUUCUGGGCAUUAUCAAUUAUAAUCUUUUUCUGGUGGACCAUACUGACAAAUCAAAUUUCUCUCAAUAAAUUUCUUCACCACUUUUUGCCUCUACGUCAUCCAAACAUCUCAACAAAGUUCUGUCAGAUGAUUUCUUAUACAAAGUUUCCCCAUCAAGAUUGAAAUCCAUUGCCAACAUUCUCUAAGUCUUCUUGUUGAUUUUGGAUGCCCCCAUGGGAUAUGUCUGGUUUUUUGGAUGAAAUUCUUGAUAUCAUAGUACCAAGGGUUUCCAUCUAUUUCCCUCUCAACUGAGCAACCAUGAGCUGGGUUAUUUCUGAUAUCAAUAUGUACCGGUUGUACCUUGUGCCCAAAGUCUAUUCUAGCCAUAGAAGUUAAUGUAACCAAAGCAUCAGCAAAAUGUUUUCCUUCCAUUCCUAAAUAGGUGAACUUUAUCUCCUCAACUUCUCUAGCCAAUUUAGACAGGUAUUCUUGGUAAGGUCCCAACUUCUCGUCCUUGGUUUGCCCUUUUCCUUUCACUUGGCAAAUAAUCAAAAUAAGAUAUUGUUGUUAUCGCACCCAUACACAUUUAUUUUUCUAAUAUUUAUCUCCAAUGUCACCUCUAAAACGAGAAUGCAAGCUUCAUACUCCUAUGUUGUUAUUGCACCCAAACUGCAACUUAACUAAAACCAAAUACUACUUUUUAUUAGGAGAGAUUAUCAUUGCACCAGCUCUGUUACCACAUACGUUUACAUCACCAUCAAAGUACAUAGUCCACCAAUCUAAUUUCCCUUCCUCAACUGAAAGCACAUCUUCAUCAAGAAAAUCAAAUUUUAAUGACUCAUAAUCUUCUCUAGCAUGGUCAGCUAGGUGAUCGACAAUGACAUUCAUGGCUUUCCUUAUCAUAUAUACUAUGUUGUACUCAGCUGGUAUAACUUGCCAUUUUGCAAAUUGGCUUGAUAGAUAGGGGUGGGAUUAGUAGGUACUGCUUGAUUUUCUCGAAAGCUUCUUCACACUCUUAUUCCACAUUCCAAGAUUCUCCUUACAUCCUUACAUCCUUCCCAAGAACCUCCUUACUUCCCAAGAACCACAUUAACAAUUGAAGAUGGGGUCAUAAGUCAUGGUUAAUUGGGAUAUCAAUCGAGUAAUGUAAUUCAACCUUCCCAAGAACCUCCUUACAUCCUUCUCAGUCUUGGGAGGUGGCAUAGAUUGAAUAGCCUUUACUUAACCAGGAUCCACUUCUAUCCCUUCGUCACUCAUCAUAAAUCCCAAUAACUUUCCAGAUUUCACCCCGAAUGAACACCUUGUGUGGUCAAGCCUCAACUUAUACUUCUUUGGUCUUUCAGGACAAUUCCUUCAAUAUUUGGACAUGAUUCUCUCCUUCUCUAGGUUUAGCAAUCAUGUCAUCCAUGUAUACUUCAAUCUCCUUGUGCAUCAUGUCGUGAAAUAGAGUUACCAUGGCCCUUUGGCAGGUGGCCCUAACAUUCUUCAACCCAAAUGGCAUGACGUUGUAACAAAGGUUCCCCAUGGUGUUGUCUUUUUCUUAUCCUCUUACACCAUUUUUAUCUGAUUGUAGCCCGGAAAUCCAUCAAAAUAUGUGGAGUUAUAUGUUGCAUUGUCAACUAACAUCUCUAUGCGUGGUAGACAAACCUUGAUUUUAUCUUCCUUUUUGUGUAAUACCACUAUGUUGGACACUCAUUGUGGAUAUUUGACUACCUCUAAAAAACCGAUGUUCCACUGCUUUUCAAUUUCUACCUUUACUUUUUCUUAACCGAUUUGCAUCCUUCUACUAGUGGUACCCUAUACAAACCAGGCACAUCCUUGUAGGACCAAGCAAAAAUAUCUAUAUAAUCUCGAAGUAACCAACUCUUCUCUUUCUUUAGGAGUGAUCAUAGUCCAUAUCUUUAAUUUUUCUCUUAUUUUUUCAUUGCCCGCAUCUAUGGUUUCAAGUCCCUCUCUGGCGGGUUUCCAAGCUUGUUCAUGUUGUCCUAUUUUCAUCCACUUCUUCCUCUUCUAUAGCUACUAUGUAUUCUAGAGUUUGGCCAUUCAUUCUCAGUGUAAAGUGUAGAUGUUUGUUUUGAAAGAUCCGAUUUGAAAACGGAAAGUGAUGUGUAAAAACAUCAAGAUGAACCUUUGAAAAUGCAUGAUUUCAUUAAAGGGAAAAAUUGUCUCAAAACAUUUGCUUGAGCAAACCGAUUAGGUGCGCAACAUCAUUCCAGACUCCUUCAAGCGUUCUUUGGUAAUGAGCUUUUGGGUGUAACCUUUCUUCAUUUUCCAUCCUUUUCUUUAAUCGAGUGUUGUGGAUUCUAGAAAGGGGAUCUAUGUUUCUAGGUCUUAUGCGUGCAUAGAUGUAUAAGAAAAUGCAUGACAUAAUACAUGAUUGUCAUAAGAAUGCUUUGUAUAUUGGGUAUGGAUGCAGCCUUCUUUGUGAACGAAUAACAGCCACCACCUUAUAAACAUAGGUUCUCUUGUCACAUUGCUAGGAGUACUGCCUUUCAAGUCGUUUACUUGAAUCAUGUUCACCAAGAGACAGAUUUUGCAUAAGAAGAUGGGUCAACGCCCUUUUCAUUAAUGCUUGAUAAGUUUAUUUCCUUUCCUCCACAAACUCUCUAGCCAAAAGUAAAAAGGCAAAGCCGCGAUUCUCAAUCUUCCCUAGAAAGGCAUCGGUUUUUAGCUAGGCUUCGGCUAUAGCGAAUGAUGUCCCCUCCCACUUUUCAUGCAUUGAUUCUAAUAAUCCGAGUAUGUGCAGCAACUUCGUCCAUUUGCUCAUCCAUCUUGGUCAUCUUUUCUAUGAGCAACAUAUUGGUUUUGUUCAAAGCAGCAUUGUUAGCGUCGAUUUGAUCCUUGUAUUUUUCCAUUGCUGCUAGCUUAUUGUCCAAAUACUUUUUAUCCUUUUCGCGCUUCUUGUCAAGUUUUUAUCCUCACAACUUUUUAUCUCAUUCUUCUUAACCGCUAACUCCGCUUUAAUAGCCUUAAAACCUUUCCUUUUACUCUCUUCCUUUACAAUCUCCAUCAAAUGGUUUUCCAACUCCUAUAUUUCUUGUUCAAAUCCUCAUACUUCCUAAUCCUAUCCAUCCGUUCGAAUUGAACUUGUGCAAAUUUUCUUGGUAAUAUUAUGCACUUCCUUGGCAAUCUUUAAAGUCAAUCUCCAUUGCUUCAAGUUCAAAUCAACUUUGCAUCCAAUCCAAACUCAUCCCUCCUAGCUCCUUCUCACUUCUUUCCCUAGCAAUCUUUUCCUCAGCUAGCUCAAGCUUUAUUAUUCUCGCAUCUCUAGAUUGUAUUUGCUCAUCUAGAAAUGCUCUCCUUUUAUCUCCUUCUAGCAUCAUUUAUUCUAACAUUCACUUGUCUUCUGAACUCCUCUUCAUUAUUGUCCUUUUUUCUCUUAAUAGGCUCUUCUAUAAUUUGGGGAGAUUUGACUCCUAUACAAGGCAUGGCCGAAGCUGCUAAGUCUCUCCAUCUUGCAUAUCCUUCACUCGCACUUGGAUCCUUUAAACCUUCUAUCUCAACCAAAACCAGAUGCUUCCAAUCUUGUUUGAUGAUCUCCAAAACUUCUUGUGCAAUGGGAUCUUUGAACAAACCAAAGAAUUAAGCAAUUCCCAUAGUCCUUGGAACAAACUGCAUGCCCCCAAGUUGCCUUACCACCAGGGCAGGAGCAUAACUCACAUAACCUGUAAUCCCUACCAAUGAUACCCAACGUCUUUGUCCACAACUCAUUAGGACUUUCACUGUCGUUACCCAUAGGGCUCUCUACUUAACAUCACUAUUAGGCAAACUUUCUAAUUUGUCAACCCAACCUUGGUUGUCUAGAUCUCUCCAUUCUUCUUCUUCUACUAACUUCAGGGGUCUUUGGGUGAACCACCAAAAAUUAUUGAAGACAGGUUUUUUUGUUUCGAUAUGGCUAACCAUCCAGAUAUACAACAACUGCGUGCAGCAUCUCAUUGCCCCUUUUCCGGUCCUCCUACAAUGAUUAAUCGUCAAGAUGGUUUCAGCUAAAAUAGCAGCCACUGGAUUGAUUUGUGUAUUCUCAUACUCUACAUAAGCAGCAGCGGCCUCCAAAAUCAUUACACCCGUUUGGCUUGGGAACAACACAAGGCCAAAAAUGCCCAAGGCAAUCAAUCUCUCUUGUUCUGAUCUUGACUUCUUUUCCAGCUCAAUUUCUAGCAUCCUCCAUUUCAGACUGGUAUCAUUCUUUCCCAAAACUUUUUCAAGUUUGAGAUUCUAAGCAGUUUUGACAAUUCGGGGACGAUCUUGUCAGAUCUCAAAGGAAAAUAAAUCCUAUACAAAUUGUUUGGAAACUCAAUCAACAUCCUAUAUUCCUCCAUAUUAGGACAUAUGUCUAUGCUUCCAAAAGAAAAACACCGGUAGUCUGGAUCUCCAAAUGAACUAAGACUCGCACAGUUGUAAUAUUUCCUAAAAAAUGUCUAUAUUUCCUAAAAAUGCAUCCUUAUCCACAUUCUGGAAGUGAGUCAUUAACUUGGUCACCUCAUUCAUAAUGCAAUUCAGGUUCUUGAUUGGUGACAACUUCUUAGCAUCGCUUCUAAGGCAGUCUCUUUCAGUCAAUUGUGACAUUUCAGAAUUUUUUUUCAUAUUCUAUGAUGGAAAAUUUAGCAAUGGUGGCCAUUUUGUUCACAAAUCCUGUGGUUCAAAAUGCCUUGGGGUUUUGAUGCAAAAGAUAUUAUGGAGCAUACAACCUUAAGGAUAGGUUCUAGUUCCUUUACGUGAGACAUAGGGUAGGUUUACUACUUGGUCUCUAAAAAAGGGUCUCUUGUUGUCCUAGUGAUCGCCCUCGUAAAGGCAAUAUGGGGGUUCAGCAGAUAGUGGGAUGGCACAUGUACCAAUCACUAUCAGUCUAAACACUCAGCAAAGAGUUGGGGUUUACACAAACUUAAACCUUGACUCAAGUCAUAAGGUAAGCUGCUAGUCCCCCACCUAACUUAAAGUUUAAUGUGUGUGCUCUCGACAAGAUAGUAAUAAUACAAGUGAUGCAUGAUAGGGUGCAAUAAAAUCUAUAUCCAUAUCUGAUAUAACAUGCAUGGUAGGAUGUAAAGAUGCAUGCUAAAGCUUUUAAACAAAGUAUCAUUCAUAGUAAAAAAAAACAACAACACAUGGCAUAACAAAAAAAACAAUUACCAAGCUUAGUCCAAGGGUCCCCAAUGGAGUCGCCAUCCUGUCGCACCCUCCCGAGAGCUCGACGUCGCGGCGACACUUCCUUCGUAGCGGGGAUUCGAUGUUGGGGUCUUUCUGUUGUGAAAAAGGGAGUCGCCACCUAGUAUUAUGGUCACUAGGAAAACUGGUCUUUCAGAGAUUCUAAGGCAAGGGACUGGUUGCGUAAAGGGAAGGUUUUAACACCCCUAGUACGCCCUACCUAAGGUAAGCUGCUUGGUGUUUGAUUUGCCUUAUAAUUGUUAUGGUGUUGAUGUUCUCUAAUCCCAUCAGUUUCCUAGGAUAAGUCUGCUCUGAUGAACGAAAUCUAGGGUGCUUUAAAAACCUAUUUUUUUUGUCUCGUAAACCAUGGAGUAAAAAAAAUUGAAAUGUCCUCGAUUAUAAUCAAGGCUUCUUUCAAGGAUUUCUGCGGAUUUAUUAUUCCUAGAAAAUUAUUUUGGAUAUUUACCACUCCGGGUUUCUUUAUCCAAAUAUUAACAGUGAAUAAUAACAAAUUAUUCCCAAUAAUAUUUUGGAUAUUCGUCCUUUAAGGAUUUCUUUAUCCAAACAUUAGCGGUGAAUAAUAGAUGAAUUCCCCCCAAAAUAAGAUUUUUAUAUUUUUUGGAAUAUUGGCCAAUACCCUUUGGAGUUUUACAAACAUGUUGUAAAAUCCAGAAAUGCAAGAAAAAUGAUUUUUGUUAGUGUUUAAGAAAUCCAUGCGAAAACACAUUUUCAAAACUUCAAAUAUUUGUUUUUUAUAUAAACAAAACGUAAAAACAAUGUUAGGGUAUUGGCCGUAUGCAGGAAAACAAAACAUUUUUUAUUUUAUAUUUUUUUGAUGUCUCGACGAAAAUCGGGUAUUUUCAUACCGGACUUGUAUCUUUACCAUAUAAAAAAUACAAGCAGAUAUUGAUAAACAAUGCAUCAACAAACUUUCAGAAAAUCACAUAUUUAAAUAAUUCUUUUAAAGAAAAUUUUCCGAACGGGCCAGACCCGGCCCACAAAGAGACUAGGCCGAAAUCAGCCCAACAUAAAAUGGGCCCACUUUCUACCGGGGCUGGACUCAGCCCAGCCCAAACCACAUGACUGGUUACUGUUCACUAUACAUUAACCGUGUUACUGUUCCUCUGCACAGUGACACGUUAAUUAAUUUUCCAGUUGCUGUGCACAUGCACAGUAACCCCGUUUUCACACAUUAACAAAGCAAACUGCAUGCAAAAGACCACGUUACUGUUCAAGUGAAUUAAAUUUCACUUGAACAGUGCCAAACACAAAGCAAAGAAUGCUCACGGUGCGGGAGGUGAAGAGAACAGACCUGGGAACGAAAGGAUAACGGUGGUGAAGGCUUGCUGGCUGGUCGAUCAGUGCUGCCGUCCGCUUCAGCUUUCCCCCCUUUAUUCUCUGUUGGUGUUCUUCUUCUGAGUUUCCUCCUCUACAAUCUUCGGUCCUCUCUCUUUCUUCGGGCUUUCUGCACUUCUUCUUCCCUGUUUCUGCAGGUUUUAUAUGCAAGAAAAUGAAAGCAAAGACCAAAAAAGAUGAUGAGCUGGUGCGGUUGGUGGUGUUGUUGCGGCUGCCCUUCCUCCUCGUUUGUGCAGCUGCUGGUGCGGUUGGUGGUGUUGCUGCGGCUGCUCUUCCUCCUGGUGUGGCUGCUGGUUUUUGAGAAGACGACGACGACGGUGGUGCUGCGAUAUCUCUUCGCCGUGUCCUCUGCUUCCGUUCAGUCAGCUUCCUCUUCUCCCCCUGUUACUCCCUCACUAUGUAUCAAUAAUCUCCUCUGCUUCCUUACGUUCUUCCCCUGUCUAUCUCUCUUUUCGUUUUUUUUCAAAAGGUUUCCCAACUCUUUGUUUCUUUCUUCCUACGCUGCCCAAUUCCCCUUCAUGUCUCCCUCCGUUCCUUUUUAUUUUUUAUGUUCUCCUCCCUUCUCCGUUUCCUUCCUGUUCUUCUCUUCUGUAUUCCCCUCUCAACAGUUCUUGGUGUGGCUGCUGGGAUGAAGAAAAUGAUGAGUUGGCGAUGGCGUUCUUCCCUCUGUUUUUGUUCCUGCUCCUUCUCUGUUUUCCCGUGGGCUGCUGCUUCGUUGCACCGCUGGAGGAGAAGGAACUGCUGAGAAAAAAAUGGUUGCUGCUGCUGUGGGGUUCAGUGGAGGCUGGUCUUAAGAGAAGCUGCUGGAUCGUGGGGGAGAAUCUGGUGGUGUUGGGAGGAAGCCGACGAUGCCUCACGGUGGUCAGGAAGGUGGCGGUGUACUUCCAAACGGUGGAGGGAGAGGUUACCAUUCUUCUCUUCCCCUCUGUUUUCCUCCUUUAACUGCCAUUUUCUUUCGUUCAAAACUUUCCCCCUCUCUUAGUUUUCCAGCCCUCUCUCCCCUUUUCAAAAAACUCUUCUCCGCCUCUUUUGUUAAUUAAUUGUGAGCGGUACACAAGUGGAGCGGGCUCUGUCGCGCAUGCACAUCGGGUGAGGUCUCCAAUAGGCGUGGCCUUGCAGGGCGCGCCUGCGCUGCUCUCCACUCCUGGGGUUUCGGGUUUUUGCAACAGCAUGCGGGGAGAGAGAGGGGAACAGUGUUUCUUAAAACGACACUGUUUCCCUUCUUUUUCUUUUUUUUUAUUAUUUAUUUUUUAUUUGUGGGGACCCAAAAAUGGGUUACAACAAAAACCAUUGAUAAAAGUUACACGUCAUCAUACUUUUCUGUCUUUUUUAUUCAUUUUUUUCCCACCGCAAUUCCCUCGAUAUAUACUAACAUAAUGUUUUUGCUGGUGUUUAUCGAGGGAUAUAGCAAUGUAAUUCAAUGUAGCGCCAGAUAGUGAUNNNNNNNNNNNNNNNNNNNNNNNNNNNNNNNNNNNNNNNNNNNNNNNNNNNNNNNNNNNNNNNNNNNNNNNNNNNNNNNNNNNNNNNNNNNNNNNNNNNNAAAAAAUUCCGUCGAUAACUAAUUAAACACUUACCCAUUACAAUAAUUCAUCAAUUAAACUUCACAACACAACUUAAAAUCUCUACAAACACAAAAAUCUUAAAAUCAAAACUAAACUUGAGAAUUGUGCAAACAAACCAAAAAUUUAACCUCGGAAGUUAUGAAAAACCAUUUCUUUCCAUCUUUUCUCUUCCUUCCUUCCUUUUUUUUUCUCUUUUUCUUCUUCUUCUUCUUCUCACGGUUUCCUCUCAAAAAUUUUGAGCACUUCCUUUCUUUUUCUUUUUUUUCUUUUCCUAUUUAUAUUUACCAAUUGUUAGGAAAAUUACCAAACUGUCCCUCAAUAAUUUAAACUUAAAAUUUACUCCUUCAAAGGCAUUGUUGUCAUUUUCUAUUAUUAUUUUUUAUUUCAAAAUAUUAUAGAGACAGUACACUACCAAGUAUCCAAUUGCUAGACAUACAGGACCAAUAACUCACAAGCAAGGAACUACUGCCUUCCCAGCAACAAUCAAAACAAAUUCACCUUAUGAAGUUGGAGAACUUACGAAAACUAGCCACCAUAAAAUAGUUGCAAGUAUCUAUGCAGUCUUCGAUGAAGUAAAACCACCUGCGUCGCCAAUAUGGAUUGAUGUAGAGAACUGCUGCAAUCGUCGUCACCACAAUUGUGUAGCAUAUACCAAAAUUGAGGUAGAAAAAAUCCAUGUCUAUGAAACCAUCAUCUUCUUGUUCAUCAUUAGGCAUUGGCUGCGAUGGUGAUUCUUCUUCAUUACAAUUGUUUUGCAAUGGAGGUCCACAUAAGAAAGGAUUUCCUUCAUAACUGCUUUCAUCGAAGGUCCCAAACUGAUAUUUUCUCUCGGGAGUCUUACCUGACAAGUUGUUGUGCGCCACACUAAAAACUGCAAGUGUGGUAAUUUCAGUAAGUUGCUGAGGGAUUGCACCAUUCAAGUUGUUGUAAGAAAGAUCCAAACUCUCAAUCUGCUUCAAGUUUGCGAACGUUGCAGGUAUAGAUCCAACGAGAUUGUUGUGUGAUAAGUUCAAUGCAUGUAUCUCACAUAAGUUUCCCAAUUCUUGAGGGAUUGCUCCUAAGAAGUUGUUACAGGAGAGAUCAAUACCAGACAUGUAGGUGAGAAUUUUCCCCUUGUAACCAUAAUACAUAUUUUUAGUUGUAAAUUCUAUCACUUCUGUAGUGUUGGGCCAAAAAAUGCUUUCCAAGUUUUUGAUGCUAUCCACUAGUGGUGGACCCAUUGUGUCAUAAUAAGCUUUUUCUAUGAACCUUGAUGGAAAAACAAAUCCGAGAUCCACUAACGCUUUCUUGGAACUUGCCUUGAAAGUAAGAUUGCCCAAACAGGAGGGUAGUGGACCAGAGAGCUGGUUUUGUGAAACAUCCAAAAUGCUUAACUGUUCUAACCAACAUAAAUAAACAGGGAACUCGCCAUUAAAGUGAUUAGCCCUCAGAAGAAGAACACUUAAUGAUGAAAGAUUACCAAUCCAAUUUGGAAUGGAACCAGUGAAGCUGUUAUCUCGGAGAUCCAUUGUAACCAGGGAAGAGCUGUUAUAAAAUCCAUAUGUUAAUAGACCACUCAAUCUAUUUUCAGAUAGAUGAACAUGUGUUAUUUGUGGUGUAUUGAAGCAAGAUGGUAUAGAACCAAACAAUUUGUUCUUAGAAAGGUCCAAAUAUUCAAGCACCUCAAGCUUACAAAAGUCACUUGGAAUUGGACCCUUAAAAUGGUUUUUGGAUAAAUCAAUGGCGCAGAGUAGCGUCGAAUUGACUAACCACCUUGGAAGCAUGCCUGAAAACUGAUUGUUACUCAAAUCCAAUUCAAACCAUAUUUUCCAAGAGGGUGGUGGAAAAUCUGGUAUCUGACCCCAAAAGUUGUUACCACUUAGGUAGAGAAAAUACAGACCAGAAGAAUUGAACACUGAGUCAGGUAAUUUCCCACCCAAAUUAUUGUUUGACAGCUUGAGAAACGUUAAUGCUGUCAACCAUUCUAGUUUUACUGUCGACAAUUGAUUGUUGGAUAAAUCUAAAACUUCCAGAGAGCUAAUAUUUCCUAAACAAGAAGGAAUACAACCUGUGAAUCCAUUCUUAGCCAUCCUUAAGGUGUCUAGAUUUGAAAAGAUCAAACAAAUAUUUUUUGAAACUUGACCGUUCAUGUUGUUAUUGGAUAUAUCUAUGACUUUCAUUUGUGGAUUUGGGUGAUCUUGCAAAUGUAAGGUGCCUAUUGUUCUCACUAUCAAAGAACUUGAGGCUUGAGUGGUUCAUAAAAGGUUUCAUUAAAAUGGGAAAUUCAAAGAGGUUAUUUGAUAGUGAGCGGAAUUCAAGGGAUAUGAUGUUGGUAAGAGGACUGGAGUUAAUAUUUCCAGUAAAUUGGUUUAUAGAAACAUCUAAUAGUUGUAGAGAUGACAAGUUUCCCAAACAAUCUGGGAGUGAACCUCCUAAAUUAUUUCCAUAGAGAUCUAACUGCUCCAGAUUCUUCAAUUCACACAAACCUGUACAAUUUAUCUCAAAAUAGUCAAAAUAGUGAUGCAAGUAUCUUUCAUUGAUAAUUUAAUUAUAGGCAGAUGGAGAGUUGUUAAUUCACCUUGAGCAGGCAGCGUGUCAUGGAGGUCACAUUCACCAACAGAUAAAACUUUAAGAGCAGGCAAUGCUCCAAUGUUCUGGAGAAAGUUUAUUGGGAGAGAAGUACGAUCUAGAUACAAUUCUUCAAGGGUGGUCGAGUUGAAGAAAGUCUCUGUGAAAAAGAAACAAGAAAAGGUAUGAUCAAAAUAGUGGUGGUACAGAGUAACCAUUCCAUUCAAUUUUAUUAAUUAAGAUUUUAAGAAACUAAACUUUGAUUAACCUUGACUUAUUGAUGUCCAGCUUAAAUUAGUAUCCUUAAGAGAAAGGGUCUUUAGGGAUGGCAAUACUCCCAGUGAAUGCAGUAAUUCCAGCUUCCUUGAACCUAUGAUGCGUAGAAUUGAAAACAAGCAAUCAAAUAAAUAGCGAAAUUAAGUAUUAUGACAAUUAAGUAUACAUCUUAAACCUAUGAUCAUUUUUGGAUAGAAACAACAAAUUGCGUGAGAAAUUUAGAGAUUUCAAAAGGUAUUGUUGAAAAAUGAGCUAAAUAAGUUUUCAUGUACAAUCUAAAAAAAUGAAUUUUGGGUAAGUUAUGCCUAAUUAGGUACAAGAUGCCGUGAAAUAUUAAAAACUUUACCAUUGACAGUCGUUGAUCCUAACAACAUAUUGCCUGAUAAAUUUAAAGACUUGAGAGAAGAAAAUCCACCCAGAUAUGAUAAAAUGUUGUCGUUGAACAUAUUAUAGCUUAGGUCAAGGUUCUCAAGUUUCCUCAAAUGUGAUGAUUUGAUCUCAAAACCUGCAGGAGAGUUGUUGCUAUAUGUAAGUCAUAAAGAGCUCACGAUAUGCAUUAUAGAAACUAAAAAUAAGAAUUGAUGGGAUGCUAUGAAAUCUGUUGGACUUGAAAUCUUACGAGAUAUACAUAAGAAAAUGAUGCAUGAACGCAUAUAGAUAUAAAUUCCUAUAGAUGAAAGCUCAGUCAAACAUGAUAAAAUGCUAUCAUUAAAUUGAUUAUUAAAUAGAUAUAAAGUCCUCAUUUUUCUUGAUAAAGAAACCGUAUACGAGAAUGGCAUGCAAAGCAGUUAGGUAUGAAUUAUAUAUAAUUUAAUAUUGAUCCUGUCAGCUUAUUGAAUGACAGAUCCAAAGACUAGAGAAAUGGAAACCCAGUUAGAGAUGAAAAAAAUGCUAUCGUCGCAUUGAUUCCCACUUAGAUGAAGGUUCUGCAGUUUUUUCAACCUUGAUGACAAGUCUUUGGAACCUGAAAGAUGUUUGUCAAAAGCAUAUUGGAAGGAAAUAAACGCAUAGAAAAAUCAUAUGAGAAGGAGAAAGGAAAAGGUUACCAUAGAAGCUAGCUGAUCCUGUCAACUGAUUGUGUGAUAGAUCCAAAGACUUGAGAGUGGAAAGCCCAGUCAAACAUGACAAAAUGCUUUUAUCAUUAAAUCGGUUAUCACUUAGGUUAAGUAACUCCAGUUUUGAUGAUAGGACUUCGAAACCUGGAAGCAAAACAUCGAAGCAAGAUAAUUAACAUCCACAAAUAAUAUACCUUUAUUUUUUAUUAUAAGAAGAUAAACAUUGAACGAACCUUGAUUCUCAAAGCAACCAACUAAUCCAGUAGAGCUCAAAUCAAGACUUUGCAAUUCUCUAAAAGGAAAAAACAAAGAUGCGUUGAGAACCCAAUCGCCCAAGCGCAAAUCCCUUGCAUACCAAAGAGAGAGUUGGAUCGCUCGCCUUGUGGCUGUAUGACACUUGAUCCCAGACCACUUACAACAAUUAUCCUCUUUAUUGACCGUCCAGUCGCCUAAAUACCCGUAAACGCUGUGUGGAUUGAUCAAAGCUUUGAUCCCCAAGAGCCCAAUUCUCUCUUCCUCCAAACACCCAUAGCAACGACCACACCUUUCGCCAACCAAAGUUAAUAAUGUUAGCAACAUCCAAACCCACAUCUUUUUCGUUGCCAUCAUCUUAGAUAAUUCUAUGAACCACUACGGUUUGUAGAAUAUUGUUGUUUGUUAUGUGCAUUUGGGCAACAAAAGAGGUCCUAUUUAUACUACUUUGGCUCUCUUCAACCUUUCAUUUGAAUUUUCUUUGCUCAACUGUGAACAGAAAAAGACUUGGGUGCAUCAUUGACGAAAGACUUUGAAACAUAGUAAAAUUGACCAAUUAAACACUACUAGAAUUUUGCAUAUUACCAAUUGAUUGGUCCGUCGGUAUUUAAACAUUGAUUCUAUCGGAAAAACAUUUACCGAGAGAAUCAUGGAUGGUAAUUAUUCAUUGAAAAACUUAUCGUUAGUGAUUUUUAUUAUGCCGGUCAUUCCAUCAGUAAUAUCAUCACUGUUAGAUUUACAGGAAAAAAAACACGUUAAAAAAAAUACCAGUAUCAUUUCAUCGGUUAGUAUGACAUAUCAUCGACAGAGAAUACCGUUUGUAAUUCCAUUGGUGAUUUAUUUCAUAUUACCAACAAACUAAACCCGUUGGUGAUUUACAUAUUAUCAGUGGCAAGAUCAUGUAAUUUUUUUAACUCUCUAGAACUCUCCGAGGGAUUUAGUUUGUCGGUGAUUCCAUCUGUAAUGUUGAGUAGCAUUUCAUGUAAUUUUUUUCAACUCUUUAGAACUUUAAUAAACUUAGUCUACCGGUAAUUCCGUUAGUAAUUUGUUUAAUAUUUUUUUAAAAUCAAAUAAAUAGAACACAAAAAAAUUAAAAGAAAUAAAAACUAAAAUAAAAAACCAAAUAUUUAUUACAAAUUUAAAAAUUAUCAAUUUAAAUACAAUUAAUCUAGAGGAUAGAAGCUUAAGGAGGAGGAGGCAGGGGAGGAUCUUUGCCGGGACCAGGUGGGCGACGAGGUGGACCACUUGUACCAUCGAUGUUUGACAAUAACUCCACAUACAUUCACCUAAGUUCGGUCAUCUUAGCAAUAAGUUGUUUUGUCUCAGUAGUAAGCCAGGCCAUUUGAGCUUCAACUUGUUGUCACACAAUCGCCUGGAAUUCUACAGAUUGGGAGCUCGAUACCGAUUGCAAGGAACCAAUGGUCACUACAUUACAAUUCAUCUGCAUAUCCUCAAUCAGAGUGUUUGAGAUACCAUAAACCCAAUUUAUAUCGGGUCCACUGGAUGAUCCAACCUUUAACCACAAAACUGGAUUGAGUUUCGGAUGGGUCAAAGGAUCGUCCUCAUAUCUCUCCUGCAAUCAGGUGGGUAUAUGUUUCCUAAAAAAAUAACCAGUCAGCUAUUUUAAAAAAUAAUAACUUGAGAAAAAAAUUGUUGAAAUCCAACUUACAAUGAACUUCUAAGCUCGGCUAUCAUUGAGUUGUAACAUCUCUUUUUGACGGUCAUCAUUUCACAUGUGACUUGCUACAAAAAGCUCCAUCAGUCUUAGUUCGUGUCCAAGAACCAUAGCCUGCAAAAGAAGACUAUUAUUAGUUAAAAAAUUUCAUAUAAAACAAUAAUUUUAAAAAAUAGAUGUAAUAAAAAAGAAUCUUAACAUCUAUUUCUCAUGUGAAACAGAUGAAAUGGAUCCGCUGGUCUACGUGGUAUUUGAACCGCAAAUCUCUCUGUUUUGGUUCUCUACACUGGAUUGUGACCACCACAUGAAAUGUGCAAACAUCAUGUGCUAGAUAUAAACUUCCUAUAUAGCCUCUAAGACGUGCGAAGGUCUAAAAUCUCUCCAAACAACCACGUCUCUCAGCCUGGAAAACCUCUUUCUUUAGCAUAUAUUUUUUGUUUUCUCUUAUGCCUCAUACCAGAAAUCACUUAACAUAUAUCCAGAAAUAAAUUAUUGGUAAGAUAAUGAAGAAUACAAUUUCAACAUUUAAAUAAAAAAUAUAACCUUUUGAAUUCAAUCUUACAAUGUUGUGCUGUUAGCCCUGUCAUAGUAAAAUUUUUCGUUGCAUGUCAAAUUUGUAAAAUAGUUUGUUCAUUAAAAUUAAAAAGCUAACCAAAUAAAAUUAAAAAAAAAACUAUUUAUGUAUAAUAUCCUUGAAGUUUCCAAAUCUUGCAUCAAUCAUAGGUUUCAAUUCAGGAUUUUUGAAAACUUGAUUCCACUAAAACAAUGGCACUUUCAUUGAUGAUUUCAUCAUUGAUAUUAUCGUGCAAGUAACCUCCACAUUUAUAAACCUAAAAUUCCAUUUAUUAAUUGAAAUUAAUUAUUCAAAAAUUAUACAUUGUAGUUUAUUUUUCAAUCGUGCAGGAAAGGAAAACAAACUUACAUUAAGCGGCCGAGCUUUCAUUGAGCAAUGUACUUCCCAGUACAUACAUGUUUCUCAGAACGGACAACCCCUUUGUGUGGUGGCAUUGCACUCGCUGUCCAUAUUACUCACUAAUGACAUUCUCAUUGACAUCUAUACAAAUUAAAGCAUUAAAAAGGGUAAUAACAUUCCUAUUUUAUGUUAAAAAUUCAGCUGCACCUCCCCUAUACGAGAGCCUACCUGAAAUUCAUGUACAUACAAAUAUUCAUCAAUAAAUCAAGCCACAAACUAGUUGAUUUUAUUUAUGACUAAUAAGUUUUUAUAAAUUGAUUAUUUUAUAAUAUGAACAAGGCAAUGAAUUGAACAAGGAAAUAUAACAUUCACUAAUAUUUAUUUUACUUCAUGUUUAAUUUGUUGCAAUAAGUGUUUGGUUCUAUUUCUAGUAUUGUAUCAAGAAUAAAUUUGAUAUUCUAUGUUGUCCAAAAUAGAAAAAUAUUUUCACUUCUAGUAUUGUAUUUGAUUUCUGUCAAGUAUCUUCUUCUCACUGUAUUUUUUGGUACAAGUCAUUCAAGACAAGAAAAUAUUGACAAGCUCCCACUUGAAGGAAAUUCCCCACUGUCAUUAUGUCUUGGAACACUGUUUAUUCUUGUUCUCAAAUGAGACUAAAAAUAUUAUAAGAUAAAUGUUAAGUUCUCUUCCACAAUAUAAGCCUUGCAUAUCGAAGCCUUAACAUGCGCUUUAUUUUUAACUUUUUUCUUUAGAUUGAAUAAGUUUUCAAAUGGAAUUAAAUGAAUGUCUUAUUUUUUUUAAAAAAAAACAAUAGAAAUUUAAUUAGAAUGAAUAUGUAAUCCGUAACCUCUUGAAUGGAUACAUCCAUCUAUAUUGGAUAGGGCCUCCUACUUUUAUCUCAAUCAGUAGAUGUAUAGGUAGAUGCACUAUUGAGUCAAAGAAAGAUGAAGGAAAUAUCAUCUCAAGUUUGCAGAUUGUCUGGAUGAUAUUUGUUUCAAGCUUCUCUAUAUAUAUGUUGGGUAUGCAACUUGUUAGAGCAUAUAUAUCUAAAAAAGUGACUGAUCUCUGUGAGUGUAUCCCAUAUCUCUUUUGGCAAUAAAUCUAGGUAGGCAUGUCGAAUGAGUAUUUUCAUAAACACGUGACAAUUAUGACUCUUUAUUCCAUACAAUUUGUCAUCCUUCAAAUUCAUCACCUAGAUAUGUUUGAAAUAUAUCCAUUAAGAAAACGAAGACUCUUAAGCUUUUGGUAGACAAGUAAAUGUGCAUUCUUAUUUAAGAUGAAUUUAAUAAAACCCUCAACCCCAUUACAAUAAUCCAUCUUAUGCAACCCUUUGGGUGAAACUUGAUAUAUCUAAUAACGAUCAUCCAUUACUUAUAUGAAACCCUAUAUAGAAUGUUGAUGACAAAAUAUAUUAAUUAAUAAUAUGGACUAAACAAAUUAUCGGUACCAAACUAAUUAGCUACCAUCAGUUUAACUCAAAUUUAUUCAAUCUAUUUUAAUUGUACCCUUAAAUCAUUAUCAUUUUUCUAUAAAAAUUCAAUUCCUCCAUAUUUACUGAAAUUUUAAAUUUAACAAUAAAAUUGACAAAAUAGGAAACAUACACAUGAAAUAAGUCAUUAUUUAUUUCAUUACAAAACACCUAAGUCACAAAAUCAAACUCAAUUUCAUCAAAUUACAAACAAAUACUAUUUUUUAAAAUCUAAAAAAAAAACCCUAACAUGUACAAAUCAUACAUUUACACAACAAAUUUCUAUGAGAAAAACCUAUAUAACAAGUAAACACAUAAACAAACUACAAAUACUAGGGGUGUUCAAAAUAACUGAUUAACCAAGAAAACCGAUAAAACCGAAGAAAAAUUAACCGAAAAAACCGAACCGAAAUGAAAAACCGAUUAAACCGAUUGUCAAAACCAUAAAUUUUAACAGGUCCGGUUCGGUUUCGGUUUUGAACCAGAAACCGAUACAAACCGAACCGGACCCACUAAAAGCCAAAAGUUACACAAAUCUGAGGUAUAAAUAGUUAAACUGUAACCUAACCCUAACAGUUAAUAUAACCUUCCUUCCUGCCUGCCUCUCACAAAAAGCCGUCGCCUGCUCCAAAAAAAUUCCCAAUCUUCCUCUCAAUUAAUUUUCAAUCUUCCUUUCCCAGUUUCCCAGCCUGCUCCAAAAAAAUUCUCAAUCUUCCUCUCAAUUAAUUUUCAAUCUUCCUUUCCUAGUUUCCCAAUCUUCCUUUCCAGUGGGUUGUUGAAUGAGCUUUCAAUGUGAAGGUCACAAUUUUCAACGUCACGUACACAUCCAAAGAUUAUAAGCCUCUGUAACUUGAAAAUUUAUAGUAGCUUGUACUUGCUAUAUAUACUCCAUAGGAGAAGAACAAAGCUACCACAAAGACAAUAUCUUUGCGCAUCUUUGUCACUUGUAUUUUUUUCUUGUUCUUAUCUUUCCUCCAUUUUCAUUCUUAGCUGUUUUUCUUAUGGUAAGUAUUCGUGGUAAUGACUGAGAUCGAUGGGAUUAAUGGCAAUGGAAACCAUGGAGGAGUUGUUUUGGAUAUUAAAGAUAAUUAUCCUUCAUCUAGCUCCAUCAAGGAAGUUUUUGUCUUGAACUUCUUUGUGCCUUUCAUGCAAAAGGGCUGUAAAAUCUAUCUUCUUUCUGUGCAGCUGUGCCUGUGUUUUCUCCUUGCCAUAUGAAAAAUCCGGAUGAUAGGAUUAGGUUUCCCGAUUUUUUUGCCAAAAAACCGGAUUUAACUGAACCGGACCGGUUCGGUUUGAACCUAUUUUCGGUCCGGUUCGGUUAAUAUUUCACAAAAUUAACGUAAUUCGGUUCGGUUGGUUUUUUUAGUCUAAACCGAACCGAACCGAACCGUGAACACCCCUAACAAAUACUAGCUCAAAAUGCCAAAAAAAUUAACAUUUUAAAAAUUGGUUACAACAAAAAAAAAAGUUUUUCUUACUUUAUGUGGCCAAUUUUUUUUUAAAAAAAAGUAGAACAGGGAUGCAGACAGAUUGAGUGUUGGGGUGGCUGGAUUUGUGAUGAUGAGAGCUUGAUUUAUGACAAAAUAUAGGGGUGUUGUGUGUUGUUUUCUGCAUAAUAAAAAGGAAGAAGAAGAAAUAAAGGAGGAGGAGAGGAGGUUCGUUUGUCAGGUUAUAACUUAAAUAUUACCGACAGAUUCACCGACGGAUAUUAGUGAUGGUUUAUUUCAUAAGUAAUACAGUCUAUAAUAAUGACACGUUAUUUUUCUUUUUUUCAUUUAUUUUUCAAUUAUAAUUUCCUCGAUAUAUACCGACGAAAAAUCUUCAUUAGUGUAUACCAAGGAACAUAGCAAAUAAAUAUUUUGUCGAUAAAUGUCAUUGUAAAUUGUUGACAGGUUUUGUUUCGUCAAUAGUUUUGUUUAUAUUUGACAAUUUUAUGGUAGUGUAAUGAUUUGGAUUUUUUGGCAGUAAAAAGAUAUUCAAAAUUAUUGAUUAGAUAAAAUUUAGCCGAGUAAGACAUUGUAAGUUGUUUACAAUUUUCACUCCAAAAAAAAAAAAUUACUAGUUGUUUUUGAAAACAAUGCUUUAAUUAAGGCUGAACAUUGAGGGUUGUUUUCCCACUCUUAUUCUAUCUGUUCUCAGAUUUCAACUAAUUAAUAAGUUUUCUUUAUUUCAUUUAUAGUUUGAAUAUUUUUUAAUUCGGAUAUUAUUUUAUUUUAUUGUUUAAUCAGCUAUAGAAAAAUAUCCAAAUUAUUUUUGUCGCAUGUGAGCUAUAGUUUGGGAUUUUUUUAUACUCUUAUAAACCAUAUUAUUAAUUUUUGUUAUCUGUUACAUCAAUUGAUUUGAUUUGUGAAAUAAAUGAAGAGAUAAGAAAAUGAUUUCUUUUGUUUAAUUUAAGACUUAUGCUUUUGAAUGUUUGAGAGUUUAGUAAUUUAUGCUUUUGAAUGUUUUUUUAAAAAUAUAUUUUAUUUAAAAAAUAUUAAAUUAAUAUUUCUUUUAUGUUUCUUUUAUAUUUUUAAUAUAUUUAUAUAAAAAAAAUCUAAAAAUCUAAAAACAAAUUUUUUUAUACAUUUUUAAAUAAACAGUACUUUUUAAAAAACAUUUUACACCAUCACAGACGAAACACAUGUACGUUUAAGUUUUUGAGUCGGAGUCAAUCUAUUGGUUGCCUUACAGCACUACGGGAGAAAUUGAGUUAAAGCAUGAAAUGUCGUGGACGCUGAUGCUUUGACUUGCAGGGGUGCCUUUUGGCCGGAAAUUGCUGAUUUCCUUGUGGAAACAGGUGUUCUCCUCAAGAUCUUUUCCGAAACAAACCUUGUAAGGGCGAUUAAAGUUUUGAUCUAACAUCGUAAGAAAUAAUUGCAAUCAAUUGGGAAAACUUUUUAAAUUCUUUGAAUAUUAGCUGACUUGAAGAUACUAUUUAAUUAGUAUAGAAAGAAAAAUGAGUGCCCAUAAAAUAAUUGAAUUUCUUACAAAUCAAAAUGUAUUGAUUUGUGAGAUACUUUUAAAAAACAUUUUACAUCAUUUCAGUUUAUAAUGUUAGUUACUUGGAAACUCCAGCAAGAAAGCAGGACAGAACCAUUUUAAGCUGAUUCAAUCUGCAAUCCUUAAUAUAUAGAGUGGCAAUAAAAUGAAAUAAUAAUUGAAAAUAAAAGAUAUUUUAAUUUAAAUUAGUUGAAUGCCAGUUUUUCAUCAAUUAUUGAUGUACAGCUCUAUUUUGUGUUAAACGUUGGGUGUAUAAAUUAGUCAAAAGUAGGCUAUCACGCUUUCUCCAUUACUGUUCUGUAACGAUAUUUUGGUAGCAUAAAAUGUCGUGUACGCGGAUGCUUGACUUGCGCUGUGCCCUUUUGAUUUAGCAGUAAUUUCCUUUUUAUUAUUGAAAUCAUCUUUUUAUUUUGAACUAGUCUUCAUUGUAUCAUCACUAUCAAUUCCAACAACUUUAAUUUUAUUAUUAGCUACAAGCGUCAUAUAAUUUUCAUUAUUUUCUUAAAAACAUCAAACCAUAAUUUCUUUAAACAAUCUCGUUGUAGGUACAUAAUAGCACAAAUAGCCUUUAUAUUUUGUGGCAUACCCAAGAAACAAACACUUUGUAGUUUUGGCCUGCAAUUUGGUGUGCUAUUAUAAGGUUUAAGGAGAGGAAAACGUGCACAUCCAAAAAUUCUAAGGUGAGUAAGAGUUGGAGAUGACCCAAAUAACAUCUCAAAAGGAAAGUUGUGAUGAAGAACAACAGUAGACACACGAUUGAUUAGAUAUGUGGCUGUUUGACAAGCAUAGGACCAUAACUAAGAUGUAAUAAGGUGAUAGUGGUUUCAAUGAUAUGCCUAUGUUUCCUCUCAGCUAUCCCAUUUUGUUCAGGAGUAUAUGGACAAAAGAGGUGAUGUGAAAUGCCCUUUUCAAGGAGAAAAUGUUUCAAUCCAGUGUUGGUACCCCCCCCCCCUAAAAUCAGUUUGAAUAGUUUUAAUUGUGGCAGAAAAUUGAGUAACAACAAAGGAAUAAAAGACAACAAAUGUAGAGAACAAAUUAGACUUAUUUGUUAAUGGAAAAAUCCAGCAAUAUCUGGUACAUUCAUCUACAAAGAUGGUGUAGUAUUUAUAACCAUCAACUGAUAUAUAUGGUGCAGGACCCCAUAAAUCAGUAUGAAUAGUUUCAAAGGGAGUUACGAACUUAUUGACAUGUUGUGGAAAAGGUAGUUUGCUAAAUUUCCCCUCGAGACAUGUAUGACACAUCAUAGAUAAGGAGGUUUUGGGAACAAGUACACCAGCUUUAUUUAACAUAAGAGAAACAACAUGAUUUGUUGGAUGACCUAACUUAUGAUGCCACAAAUUAGACUGAAUGAGUUGGCCAAGAAAUGCCUUAACUUGAUAUGUCUGUUGUGAGUUUGAAGUUGAGAAGGAGUGGAUAAGAUACAGUCCAUUACUGCACAAGCCUUUAUAAAAUAUCAUCCCUGUGGCUUUGUCCUAAAUCCAAAAACAAAAGGCAUCAAAUAUAAGCCAGCAAUGAUUGUCAAGGCAAAGUCCUACCUGUGGUAGACUGUAGUGUAGACUAAGGGAUCAUGAACUGUUGGUGAAGAAGGAGAAGUUUGGGAAAUCAGUUUGGGCAAGUUGAAUGUUGAUCACAUUGAGAGGCUUGAAACAAAUACCGUCGAGACACUAUGAAACUUGAGAUGAUAUUCUCAAUGGAACAUCUCUUCAUGCAUCUACCGUUCGAGGCAAAAGUUGGAGGACCGGUUCAGUAUAGAUGGAUGUACCCAUUCGAACGGUUAGAUAUUAUAGUUGCAAUGUAAUUCAUAUAUAAAAGUAUUUUCUUUGUUUUUUUUAAUUGAAAAUAUUUGAUUAAUUCAAUGCAGGUACUUGUUCAAUCUCAAGAAAAAAGUUAAGAACAAGGCACAUGUUGAGGCUUCGAUAUGUGAGGCCUAUAUUAUUGAGGAGAUCUCAACAUUUAUCUCAUAUUAUUUCGAACCUCAUUUGAGAAUGAGAAUCAAUCGCGUUCCACGGCAUGAUGAUGACGGUGAAGUGCCUUCCAGUGGGAACUUGUCAAUAUUCUCCAAUCCUGGAUGAACCACACCUAAAAAUACCGUAAAGAGAAGAUAUUUGUCGAAAAUAGAGUUCAGACAAGCACACAAUUAUGUUCUAUUUAACUGUGAUGAGCUGAGACCUUUUAUUCAGUAAGUAUAUGUACUACUAAUUAAACUUUGUUAAUAAUAUACUAUUUAUAUAUUGUGAUAUUAUAAACUCAUAUAAUUUGGAACAACCUUGCAGGCAACAUCGACAAUAUUUGUUGUCCAAUAACUUACAGUUGACCGAAUCCAAAAUCUUUCAAUUACAAGAUGGACAAUUUGCCACGUGGUUCAGAACACAUGUAAGUACCAUCACUUACAUGCGAUGAUUUGAAACUAGCUUUAAAUCCCUUGGAAAUUCGAGAAUCAUGAGAGAAAUAGUUGAGACCAUACAGGAAAAAACCUUCACCAAUCAUCUCCCUGGUUAAUCGGUCCUAAAAUAUAACCUUAUAAGGAGUGAAAAUUACAUCACAAUUUAAAAUAGAAGUUAACUUAAUGACCGAGAGCAAUUGGAAAGGAAAAGAGGGAACAUAUAGGACAUCAAAAAUGAUUUUAUCAAAGAUUAUUUUGAUUUUUCCCUUCCCCUUCACAUAAGAACCCUUUCCAUUAGCUACAGAUACAAAGAUAGGAGAUGUGAAUUGUUCAAGAUCACGAAUAUCACUUAAUUUGUUAGACAUAUAAUCUGUAGCACCGAAUCAACAAUCUAAAGAUCAAGCAAAUUUUCAAGUUCUAAUGCAGUCAUAAAGGCAAUCAAAAUACCUUGGCUGGUUUUUGGGUCUGCUUCAGCUAGAAAUUCAGUGAGGUGGCCGAGGAGUGCAGUUGGCUGAUUCUGAUCAUGUCCAGCAGCUCCAUCUUGUUGCUUCGUGUGACCAUGUUUGUCUUGCAGGUAAUUAGCAAAGUCAUGUAUCAGGGCAGGAAGAUUUGUAAUGAAGUUUUCGGUGGAAUGAGCAGCUAUAUGUGACUUAUAAUUAGUUGGUCAUCUCUGGUAUCCUCACUAAUCCUUAGAAAACCUGGGUUUAAUCUCUGGAUGAAGCUGUCAACAACGUUUUGUCAAGUGUCCAGUGUUAUGACAAAAGCUGAACUUCAGGUCUGAUUGUUUCCCUUUGAAUGUUCUUGCAUCAGUUACUUGUCGUGGUUGACCACGGGAAUCAGACAUGCCAGAAUUCCCAUUACGAGGCAUUGCCUUGGCAUGGUAAGCAUGAGUGCCAGCAGCUCCAGAAUUAACAUCACGGCUCAUCACCUUCCUGUGGAUCUCUUCACGCUGGAUGUUGCACAAAUAGACUUCAGAGAUCGAUGGCAGUUUUGAAUUCAUUAAAAUAUGACUGCGCAGGUCUUCAAAAUCUGGACUAAGGCUUGCCAAAAGUUGGAAAAUCCGGUCUUGUUCUGUACUUUUCCGUAGGACAGCAGCAUCAACAGUGAGGGCGAUACAUCUCCAAUUCAUUCCAUAAGCUUUUCAGAAUUCCCAAUAGUUGAACAAAGAGUCUACCAUCUAAACUAGGUAACAAUCUCUAAUCUUGUUCCUCUAUUGAUGGAAUUGUACAAUUAUAUAUGGACUAGAAUUCGGACCUAAAACAGCAACUAAUGGUUCGAUUCUGUCCUUGAUUUUAGGAAAACAUAUAUGGUAAGUGUAAUUACAAGAUCAUCUAAACUAGGUUACAAAUAAACUAUCUCAGUUAAUGACAUAGUUACAAGAAUAUAUAGGUUACAAAUAAACUAUCUUAGUUAAUGACAUAAUUACAAGAAUAUUUAGUAUUUGCACCAUUGCACCAUUGUCGCCUACUCCUAUGCAGCCUCAAUCUGCUUUAGUUGCUCAGAGUGGUUUUUCUGGUUUUAAUGGCAGUGUUUCCUCUCACAAUUAGGGCAGAGGACGACGUGUGGCUGGAGGAAUACUCGCAACUCCUUCCCUUGUUUGGGCAGUCACAAUUUUUUAUACUAUUGGCGAAUCACUUUGUUUCACCUCGGUUUGUCUUUGUGUUUCAAAGUUGGAUACUCUGCGUCCUCGUUACAAAGUUAAAAGAUGGGUUCAAUGAUUUAUCUUUUAAUUUUAAUAACAAAUUAAGUUUAGGAUUUCAAAGUAAUAAUCCAUUUGAAAUCUUGCGAGGAAUAAUGAAAUUAAACCCAAAAGAAGGAGACAUCAAAGGUAGUAAAAUUGUAGUCCAAUAAAUAAUGAUCUUCUACUUCAUAGGUUUGGAACCCUUUUUUUCUUGUUUAAUAGUAAAAUUGUACAGACGAGGGCUUGAAGCUGUUAACUUUCCCUGGACUGCUUAUGUCAUUUAUUCAUAGGUCUACUUGUAUACUAUCCAGCAUGCACAAUCACUUGUUAUAUCCUAUGCCUUCUUCAGCACUCUGCCAUUGCUAAUAGAAAUAUUCACAAAAUUAUCAUAGGUAUCGAUUUGCUAUACUGGUCGAAGUUAUCUGCAAUUUUUGUUUUCUUGUUAGUAUCUUCUCCCUCUGCACCUAUUCCCUGUUGUUAUUAUGCUAUAUAUUUUUAUACUUACUGUGUGUCAAUAUAUAUGUUUGCUUCUUCUUAAUUCGUAAAAUGAAUAUAAUUUAACUGAAUUAAUUUCAUACCUUCUUCCUUGGUCUAAGAGGCAAUAUUGCGUCUCUCUUUCACAUCUACAUAUUUUUUGAAAAAUCUUAUCACACUUGGAUUGUCGCACCCGACAUCGUGGCGACUCUAAAAAAUAUUUACAUGGAAAGAACAGAUUUCUGGCACCUGGUUUUUUUAAGGAAAAAUGUCUCGUUUAAGGAGUCGCCACCUAUUAUUAUGGUCACUAGGAACCCUAACUGGUCAACAGAGAUCCUAUAGUUCGGGACCGGUUACGCAAAAGGGAAGAUAUUAUCACCCCUUAAACGUUCUGUCUGAGGCAGACUGCAUUGCUGAUUUUGUCUUAAACUGCUAAACGUUUAUUAAUUUGUGCUAUGAUAAUUUGAUUAUAAUAUUCCUGACUCUGACGCCAGUGAAUAUUCAACUACGGAUAAUUCCAACUCUGGCAUUGAUAAAUAUUACGUAGCUAGAAAAUAAAUUAGAUCAAUAUAUUUUUUUUAUUACCGACUCUAACACUAGUGAAUAAAUAAAUUCAUUUUAUUACGCAUUCACAUAUUUUUUUUAUUUUUUAAUGUAGCUAAAUAGAAAAACAAAAAAAUACAAUUAAAUCAGUAUUUUUAUUCCUGACUCUGACGUCAAUGAAUAAACCAAUAAAAUAAAAUUUAUUUUUCAUGCAUGCGUAUAUUUUUUAUUUUUUUAUUUUUUCUACUUUUUCUACUUUUUCUAUUUUCUAUUUUUUUUAUUUUUUGGGGCUGGGCCCAGCUCAGCCCAUGGGGGCUGGGCUGGACCCAGCCAGCCCGGCCCGGUCACUGGCCCAAGCCAGUGACCCGGCUGGGCAAAGGCACGCACCACGCGUGCGUGCACUGGGAAAGGCUAAUUAAUUUCACGGCAACAGUGUCCAAUGAUAUUUGCAAAGCGGGAAGAGAAGAUUACCUGGACGCAGGACGAGGACGAUGGUGAAGCUCUUUCUGUGUGAUCGGGUGACACUAGCCGGGCACCCGUUUCAACCUCCCCUUCGUUCUUCUGGCUUUGUUCUUUCUGUUUCUGAUGGUUCCGAGUGUUGAAGCUGGUCUUCUGUUUUAUUAUCUUCUCUGGUUUUUUCGCGUUCCUCUGUUUCCUUGAGAAGAAACAGGGGAACAACAGUCCUGCUAUUUUGGUUCGUCCUUCUGGGUUGUUCGCUUGUCCGUCCUCUGUCUCUGGUUCUACCACGUUCUCGGUGUCGUCCCCUUUCUUUUGUGAUUCUUUGUUCUGCUGCCUCUGGUUCUGGAGGCUGGUUGCUGAAGACUCUGAAGACGAUGCUCAACGCCGGUUCUCGUCUCUGCGCUUUCGUCCGCUGGGUUGAGUUUGCAUCUGCUUUGCUCCUGGUUUUAUAUUCUGUCACCUUCAGUUCUGAGAUGAAGGGACAAAGACGAUGGUGGGGCUGAUCCUCGUCUCUGUGUCGUUCGUACUCUCCAUUGGCCCCUCGGUUCUGCCCUGUUUUUUUAGUCUCCUCUCCAACCAACCUCUGUUUUUUCGAUGCUCAUUUGUUUAUAUAGAGUCCGGCGGGUUGGUAACGGGCGGUAUGCUGAGGGUCGACCACCAUUAAGGCGCCCAUAACUGAAGCCAACGGACGAUUACUGCUGCAACGUUUCUCAGCCUUUACUGCAGAAAACGGUCACUGGCUUAAAGAAGAAGAAGAUGAGCAGCCUUUCAAAACGACGCCGUUUGGAGAUAACAGGUGGCCAUUUUACGUUUUGACCCGUGCAGUUUCGAAAGUCUUGUAAUUAAGCCCCUGGUUUAAACUGUAAUUGGCCCCCUGUAUUUGCGCGCCAUGUUCAAUGUAGUCCUUGGAUUUUAAUUUUGCAAUGUUAACCCUAAACUUUUAUAUUUCUUCAAUUAAGUCUCUGAAUAAGUUAAUUCCAAGCUCAAUUAAGUCUAAAACUUGUCAACUCUCCAAUUAAACUCUUGAUUUGAUUAAUUAAAUUAAUUUCAAGCUUAAUUAAGUCUCAAAACUUAUCAAUUCUCCAAUUAAGCCCUUGAUUUGAUUAAUUAAACUAGUCAAGAAUUUAAUUAAAUCUUUAAACUUCCAAUCAUGUUGCCCUUAACCCAAAUUUUAAUUCAUUCUUCAUUUAUUUUAUUUUUACUUGUUUUUUAUCAUUUUUUUCAGUAAAUAAAAUAAUUAAAAUAAAAAGGUCAAAAAUUUAGUUAUGACAUGGAUCAUGAUCGAAACUCUAGUUCUAUUUUUUCUUUUUGAAUCUUUAGUUAUUUAUUUUUCUCAUUAUUUUUUUUUUAAAUUAAAAGAUAUAAAUAAAUUAAUACAAAACGAAUAAAACAAAACCAGCAUAAAAAAAGUUGAUGUGAACUUGCAAAACGAACUCAAGUUGUGAAAAUUUGAUAAAAUAUAAAAUAAACACUUGACAAAUCCCAAAUAUACUCGUAUUGAUGUCUAGAAAUUGACGGUGUCCGGAAUUUAGUGGUGACAAACAUGGGCAACAUAGCAGGGUGGAAGAUUCAACAGCAGCAAAACAGAGGCAGGAGCAGAGAAGAGGAGGGAAGAGCAGCAGUUUUCUGUUUUCUGAGGCUCAGAAUGGUAUAUUUUCCAUGCAAGAGGCAGUCUAAUUAGAAAUCAUGCAAGCACUAUAUAUGUUCAGUAGCAAAUGCUGCUGUAAAAUUAAAAACAAAAAUGUAAAAACAAAAAAGGUAGAUGCAUUGGAGGAAACGUCUAUACAGACCCGAGGAACUUGGCAGAGAUCAUGAUUUUCCUGAAACUGUAGUCCUCUCCGUAGUUUACCCCUCUAAUCACAGAAGAGUUUCAGAAACCCAUCUCCCCAGCCUCUGGUAGAUACGGGUGAUUGUUGUGAUAUGUUGAACUCUCCAGAAAUCUUCACCACGGUACCUCUCUAUUGUCUUGAUGAAUGUUGAAGGCAUAUACCACAGAACCAGGUCUCCUAUAUUUUUCAGGUUUUCAAUCCCAUCCGGCACAGUUUCUAGCACCGUGCAUGCUGUGAUGUCUAGCCUCUCUAACCCAGGCAUUGAUCCUUUUGCUAUUCUGAUGCGGCGCAAUCUCUCCAGUUCAUGAAGACCUAGCCUCUUCAGCUUUGAAAAUCCACUAGGAUCACAACACAGUUCUUCCCCUGCAUAAGCUUGACAGCGUUCAAGCACCACCAACUAGGCAAUUUCUGGAGGGCCUAGAGAGGAUCACAUUUCAAAUUAGAAUAUUGAAGCACUAGCUUGGAAAUAUACUGGAGUGAAGCUAUCCAUCCUGGUAAAGCUCGAAAACUACAUUUGAGAUAUAGCCGUUGGAGAUAUUUUGGAGGAGAUGAAAGAGAGUCAAAUUGUAAGAAUUCAGUGUUUAGUGAUACAAAGCAGUAAGGUGUUUCAACCUGUCCAAAGUGUAACAUAGAUCGAUUCCCUGCUCUUCUCUUAGCUUUAAAAUGCCCAGCCUUCUCAACUGAGUUAGCUUUCCCAACUCCCUGACUAACUCAUAAUCUUCAUUCACUUCAACGCUUCCCAAUUUCUGCAGGCUAGUCAAUCUUCCUAUUCCUGAUGGAACUCUCAUUCCAUGAGUGUCAGGGAAGAACGAUGAUGACUAGAAACUGUGUCGAUAGUUACGGAGCUGGCAAAGACAUGUCAAUUGAGUGAUCCCAGAAGGCAAAGAAGACACAGGACUCCCUUUCAAAUCAAGUAUUUCCAAGUACUUGAGCUUCCUUAUGGACUCUGGAAGCUCACUUAUCAUGGUCCAUCUCAAACUUAAGCUUCCUUAUGGACUCUGGAAGCUCAUUAUCAUGGUCCAUCUCAAACUUAAGUAUCUCAAAUGAAACAGUUCAACCAAUUCAGGUAGGAAGCUGGAAAGGGGAGCUCGAUCUAAAUUCAAUAUUCUUAACAGCUUGUAAUUGCGAAAACCAUUCUCAAAAGAAUGAUGUGAAGAAAAUGACAACAAAGACCAUAGAUAAGGAAAUCUCAUAUCUGAUUGUACUUCCUCGGAGUUCUCAUGGAUUGACAGACGCCGAACUCUCUCAUUCUAGCUGAUUCUUGUUCCGUUUGCCAUCAUAACAAAAGAUUCUUCCCUGGAUUUCAUUUGAAUGAUUUCUCGCAUUAGAUCAUGAACACGACAUGUCUUGACCCUAUUAAAAUAAUUCAUCUCCACCACUUGGAUCAAAAUCCUAUUCACGAGUUCAUUAAGGUAUUCCUCUGCUACUUCCUCCAUUGUAAAGCCUUGCUUCUCUUCCACAAAUCUUUCAACUAUCCAUAGCCGGAUCAACUUCCUUCUUUUUAUCAAAUAAUCCUCUGGAAAAACACUUAAAUACAAAUAACACUGUUUGAGGUAGUAAGGAAGAUUAUCAUAACUUAGUUGAAGUAUUCUACGUAGACUCCCAAGGUCGUCGUUACUUUUCAAUUCUGUAGCUAGGCAGUCAUGGACUUUCUUCCAUUCCAAACCUCCGUUUUUCCUCUUCGACAGUAGGCCUCCUAUUGCUACAAUUGCAAGUGGCAGUCCCUCACACUUCUUUAAGAUAUUUCGAGACAUCUCUUCUAGUUCUGGAGGGCAUACAGCCUUAUGUUCCCCUCUGAAGGCUUUCAUACAAAAGAGGAUCCAAGCUUCAUUUUCUGCUAAAGCUUGGAGUUCAUAAACAUGACUAGUGUUCUCUAUAGAUUCAGCCAAGUUACUUAAACGUGUAGUGAAGAUAAUUCUACUACCACAGUUACAAUCAGGAAAUGCAUACUUUAUUGUUUCCCAAGCGUUUACAGUCCAUAUAUAUAUCAUCCAAAACAAUGACAUACCUCCUUCUCCAUAGAUAAUUUCUUAGAGCAUCAAUUAAUUGGAAGUCAGUCAUUGAUUGCAAAUUAUCCGGAACAGGUUCGUUUGCUGUCACCAGAAACCCCUGCAGAGCAACUCGUAGAAGCUCCGUGGAUGCAAAUGAUUUGGAAACUGUUACCCAAGAUGGGUAUCAAAGCUUCUUCUGAUGCGGUGGCUGUCAUAGACUUUCUUUACGAGGGUCGUUUUUCCCAACCCACCCAUUCCAACCACAGAGAUACUGGAGAGGUUUUCUUCUCCUUCUACAAGCCACGAAACCAGUAGAUGUUUUGGGUUCUCAAUUCCCACGACAUCAGCUUCAUCUAAGUAAAGAGCAGCUAACCGGGGAUCAUGCCAUUUCUCUACGGUAGCGCUGGAGGUUGAUGGCAUGUCUAUCUAUUCAAAGAAAAUGCAUUUCUUCUCUCUGAAAUGGUGUAGUUGUUUUUAGGAUAAGGAAAGAAGAAACAGAGUAUUGCUACAGUCAAGUCAAAUUGAAAUGGAGAGCAAUAUAUUUUUAAGCUAAAGACUGAAUUACAUAUUAACGUCUGAAGCAUUACAAUUUAUAGCUUGUUAAUAACAACCCACUAAAAUCAUGGUCCUAAGAUUACACCAUGAUCACAAUCAUAGAUAACAAAAAGAAAUAACUAACACCAAAGAAAUAGGAACAACUUUGAAACAUUCAAACCAACUAAAUAGUGUUUAUGACUCCAUGUUCAUCCUGUUCAAUUUCCAUUCCAAGAAAGAAGGUCAUCAAACCGAGAUCUGUCAUCUCAAAAACCUCCAUCAUCUCUUGCUUAAACUUCUCCACAAGACUAGUGUUGUUUCCUGUCAUGAGCAAAUCAUCCACAUAUAGCAAGAUAAUAAGAAUAUUAGCUCCGUUGUGCUUGACAUACAAUGUUUAUUCAGAGAAGCUUUUAACAAAUCCCAAGUGCAGAUGUUCAUCAAUUCUACUAUACCAAGCUCUUGGAGCUUGCUUCAAUCCGUAGAAAGCCUUUUUAAGAAGAUAGACCUUGUCUUCUUCUCCUUCUUUAACAUAGCCUUCUAGCUGCUCUACAUAAAUCUCCUCCUGCAGAAAACCAUUCAAGAACGCUGACUUGACAUCUAACUGGUACACCUUCCAAUUCUUUUGUGCUGCAAAAGCAAAUAAGAGCCUGAUAGUAUCGAGUCUAGCUAUUAAUGCGAAGGUAUCUGAGUAGUCCACACCGAGUAUUUGAGCAUAUCCUUUGACCACGAGUCUAGCUUUAUGCGUAUUGAUUGAGCCAUUAACAUUAAGCUUGGUUCUAUACACCCACUUGACUCCAAUUACCUUUCUGUUUUGGGGUCGAUCAACCAACUCCCAUGUUUUGUUCCUUUCAAUCAUGAACAACUCCUCUUUCAUUGCAGCAAUCCAUUUUUGAUCCAUCUUGGCUUCUUUAAAAUCUGCAGGUUCACAUACAACAAUGUUGCAUCUUUGAUAAACAUCAAAAAGUAGUCUUGUGCCUUUGACAGGGUGUCAUCCGCCAUGACAUUCUGCCAGUCUCCUAUGCUUUGUUCCACUGUGUUCGAAACAAAAAACUUGAUCUUUAGCUCUUUUGAGGUUGAAUCCAUCUUCUUUGCAUCAUCCCAGUUCCACUCGUCGUCUUUCAUAAAGUACACAUCCCUGCUUAUAACAUUUUUUCCAGUUUGUGGCUAGAAAACUUUAUAAGCUUUUGCAACCGAGCUGUAGCCAAUGAAGAUGCCUGAAAAUUCUCUUUUAUCUAGUUUAUCUCUCUUGAUAUGUGGAACAAGAGUGAAGCACAAACAUCCAAAUAUUUUAAGGAAAUUCAAUGAUGGUUUAUAACCUUACCAUGCCUUAAAGGGUGUUUGAUCCUUCACGACUCUUGUGAGAAGUCUGUUUUACAAAAACCAACAGUGUUUGCUGCUUCUGCUCAGAACUUCUUUGGUAGGUUCUUCUAAUAUAGCAUACAUCGUGUCAUCUCCAAAAUGAAUUUGUUCAGUCUCUCAAUAACUUCAUUUUUUUGCGGAGUGUAUGGAGCGGUUAAUUGAUGUUGAAUGCCUACCUCCUCACAAAAAUGACUGAAUGUUUUAGAGGUGUACUCCUUGUCGUUGUCUGAUCUAAGAGUUUGAAUUCUACAGCCACUCUCAUUCUCAACUCUGGCUUUAAAGUUCCUGAAGACUUGAGCCACCUCUAACUUGUGCUUCAAAAAGAAAAUCCAACACAUACGGGUGAAAUCAUCAAUGAAUACAACAUAAUAGAGACUACCUUUUAGAGAAGACAUUCUUUGUAGGCUUGCAAUGUCCGUAUGAAUCAAUUGCAACUUCUUUGUUGCUCUACAUGUUACUUUGGGAAAUGGUUUCCUGCUUUGCUUUCCAGACUGACAUGCUUUGCAGUUAGGAAUGUGAUCAUCAAGUUCUGGAAUAUCAUUUGCCAUCAUCUUAGAUUUCAUCUGCAGCAACCCCUUAUGAUGAUAGUGCCCGAGCCUCUUGGGCCAUACUUUUAUGAUAUUUUCUUUGAUUGGGAAAGUAGUUUGCUCCUUCUCCAAUGGAUUUAGAGCAAAGCUUUUCCCUUUCAUUUUUACUUUGAAAAUAUCAUGGCCUUCUGCAUCUUUAAUCAAGCAACUUUUUUCUUCGAACCUAACUUUAUAACCUUUUUCAAUUAGUUGUCCAACACUAAACAAGUUUUGAUCAAUUUCAAGAACAUACAACACAUCAGAAAUGAACUUUGUACCUGAACAGGUCGAAAUUGCAACUGUUCCCUUUCCUUCCACAGUUAUGUUCUCACCAUUUCCAAUUCGAACCUUCGACGUGUUUGUGCUUCUUAGUUCCCUGAAUAGAUCCUUGUCAUGUGUCAUAUGGUUAGUACAACCACUGUCAAUAAGCCAAUUCUCACUUGAUUCAAUGCUAGAGAAACAUGUAGCCACGAACAAUUGAUCUUCCUCCUCUUGAUCAGCAAUCUGUGCCUCUUCACCAUGUUGUUGAUUUUUGCUUUUACAGAUAACAACUUCAUGCCCCAUUUGGUUGCAUUUGUUGCACUUGACGUCUGGUCUUCUCCAGCAUUUAAAAUGUGGAUGAGAUUUUCUACCACAAUGUUGGUAUGGAGGAUGAGAUCCCUUUUUGUUCCCAGCUUUACUUCUGUUGUUAUUGGCCUUAAAAUCUCCAUUUGAGCCUUGAUGGCUUUUGCCCUUAUUUUUCUUGUAGUUCUUGCAUUCUCUUUAUGCUUGACAAAUAAGGCUCCCUCAACAUCGUCUUCCUGCCUCAUAACCCUUCUUCGCUCCUGUGCUUGUAAUGCAUUCAACAUCUCUGACCAAGUGAUUUUUGACAUAUCCUUAGUGUUUUCUAAGGAUGUAAUUGUAGCCUCAAAUUUUUCAAGAAUAGUUACAAGAAUUUUUUGGACAAUCCUUGAUUUUGGCAGAGAUGAGCCGAGUAGUUUGACUUGGCUAGCUAUGUUAAGCAACCUGUCAGAAUACUCUUUGAUGGAUUCAGUCUUUUUCAUCUUCUGCAACUCAAAGUCACGUACCAAGUUCAGCACUUGCAUCCCUUAGAUCCUUUCAUCUCCUUCGUAUUCAGUCUUGAGAUAUAUAAUCCCAUAUCUCCUUUCCUGACUUCAGAGACAUGAUACGAGUAAAGAUGGUGGAUGAGACUGCAGCAAGCAAACAGGCUUUUGCCUUUGAUUUCUUCGUGUUCUUCUCCUUAUGCGCUUUGAUUUGUGCCAUUGUGGGAUUGUUUGGAAGUGCAGGGAUUUCAUAGUUUUCUUUCACUGCUUCCCAAAUAUCCAAAACAUCCAAGUAUGUCUUCAUGCGUACUGCCCAAGUUUGGUAGUUGUCUCCGUUGAACACCGGCGAAGCAAUUGAUGAGAAAUUGGCUUCAACUUCCAUGACGUGUCAAACUCACACACAGAUCCCUUAAGAAGAGAGCUCUUAUACCAAUUGUAGUUGCUUUUAGGAUAAGGAAAGAAGAAACAGAGUAUUGCUAUAGUCAACUCAAAUAGAAAUUGAGAGCAAUAUAUUUUUAAGCUAAAGAUUGAAUUACAUAUUAACAUCUGAAGCAUUACAAUUUAAAUCUUGAUUAAUAACAACCCACUAAAAUCAUGGUCCUAAGAUUACACCAUGAUCACAAUCAUGGAUAAAAAAUAAUAAUAAUAAUAACUAACACCAAAAAAAUAGGAACAGCUUUAAAACAUUCUAACCAACCAAACAGUGUUUAUGACUCCACAUCAGCAGUCCUAAACACGUCUUCUAACAAAUGGCUUUCAGCCUUGCUUUAAUGCUUUCUAAGUGGACUGCCAGCCGGUGCCGUGCACUUAAUUUACGGAUGGAACGAUAUGAAUUGCGAAGAUAAUGGAUAAAACCACUCUCGUGAGAUGGAGCAAACCGGAGCAUGAACUCUUCAAGAAUGUUCUCGGCAUCAUAAGCCACAUCUCUCACUUGUUUGACCCAGGCUCUCAGUCCUUGAUCACUCUCACUCCUUUCUUCCGCAUCCUGAAGGAAAGAUUUCAUGCUAUACAAAUCAUCCUGUAGUUCAACGAUUCCACCACUAACUCCUCCCAAGAACCGUGUUUCUUCUGCUACAAAGGAAGCCAGUUUCUCGAGCACCACCUGCACUGCGAUCAUGGCCAUGGCUUCUUGCUCCAGAAUCACCAAUCCUGAUCUCUUUUCUCUCGCCAAAAAUUUGAAGAAAGGAAGAACAAAAACCCUUGAUGCAGUUUCUAUCUCAGAUCUUUGCUACAGGGUUUCAAGCUUAAUUAACAAUUCCUUGUACUGAUUCAUUGUACAUGAAAGAUUGGUUGACAAAUGUUGGAUUGGUUUUUCAUCCUCAAUUUUGAAUUGCAGUUGACAUAUUCAACAGUAUCAUCAUACUGUUAAACCUACUCUGUUGGAUUAAUCACUUCACAUGUGCCAGCUGUCUUAGAUUGACCUGUAUUAAUCGUUGGCCUGUUCAUUUCAAAAGAAAGAGCUAAGCUUGAUAUAUUAGGCCAGGGAUUAAACUCCAGUAAUGUCUGUUCUAUUUAGGAAUAAUAACUGAUUGAACAAAAAGUAUAUUAAUAGCUAGACAUACAAGACCAACAAUUAUCCCAAGCAAGGAACUACUGAUUCCCUAAGCAGAAUCCUGCAAUAUAAUUUAAACAUAGUUAAUUCCUGCAAUAUAAUUCCAUCUUGUUCUACGUUGUAGAUUGAUAUAGGCUUGGUGAUUUACGAUUCUUUUAGUAAUUUCAUUUUAUACAUUCCCUGUGAUGUGUUCUUAAUUUCUAUGUAUGUUAGCUUCUGAUUCAAUCGAAUUGGAGCUGAUGAAAAUUGUAAUGACUCAGUUUCUUUUAUGAGCCCUUGAUUAUGCCCAAGAAGAGAACUAAAGAAAUAGUAGAUGAGUAGUAUACUGAAAAUAAAUAUUUUUCAAAACACUAGCGGAUGCUUGAUUUGCGGUGUGCCAUUUUGAUUAUUAAACACCAGCAAGCAGUAAUUUCAUGGUAAUUAAUUCCUUAAGGAAACUGAUUUGAUCAUUUACUAGUGAUUAGGCAACUGGUUGUGAGAGGACUGAAUGCCAUGCUUCCAUGCACUAUCAGUGUGCGUGAAUGGAAACCAGCUAAGAGUCUGUUAGUUACUAUAAUAACGUUUAUUUAUCAAAAUGUUUUUCACUUCAAAACAUAUUGAAAUAAUAUUUUUUUAUUUUGUAAAACUCAUUUUUAUCAUCAAUAUGUCAAAACAAUUAGAAAACACAAAAAACUAAUGAUUCAAGAAUAAGAAGUCCAGCUUGUAUAUUUAGCCCAAAACACUAAUCAAAUAGAAAGGCUGAGCUUAGAGACAGUAGAGCACUACAAAGCAUCCAAUACUAGACAUACAGGACAAACAAUCAUCACAAACUAGGAACGACAAUCUCCCCAAUAACAAAUUCAACUUCUGAAGUUGGAGAACUUGCGAAAACUAGCCACCAUAAAAUAGUAACAAGUGUUUAUGCAGUCUUCGAUGAAGUAAAACCACCUGCGUCACCAAUAGGGAUUGAUGUAGAGAACUGCUGCAAUCAUCAUCACCACAAUUGUGUAACAUACACUGAAACUGAUGUAGAAAAACUCCAUGUCUAUGAAAUCAUCAUCUUCUUGUUCAUCAUUAGGCACUGGCUGCAACGACAUUGGUUCCUUGCUACAAUUGUUUCGCAAUGGAGGUCCACACAAGAAAGGAUUUCCUUCAUAACAACUUUCAUCGAAGGUCCCAAACUGAUAUUUCUCCUCUGGAGUCUUGCCUGACAAAUUAUUGUGUGCCACACUAAAAACUGUCAAUGUGGUAAUUUCAGUAAGUUGCUGAGGGAUGGCACCAGUCAAGUUGUUGUAAGAAAGAUCCAAACUCUCAAUCUGCUUUAGGUUUGAGAAUGUUGCAGGUAUAGAUCCAGUGAGAUUGUUGUGUGAUAAGUUUAAUGACAGUAUCUUACUUAAGUAUCCCAAUUCUUGUGGGAUUGCUCCUAAGAAGUUGUUACUGGAGAGAUCAAUACCAGACAUGAAACUGAGGAUUUUCCCCUUGUAACCAUAAUACAUAUUUUUAGUAGUAAAUUCUAUCACUUCUUCUGCAAUGUUGGACUGAGAAGGGUUUCCCAAGAUUUGGAAAUUAUCCACUAGUUUUGGAUUCAUUGUGUCAUAAUAAGAUUUUCCUGUGUACGCUGAGCCAAAAACAUUUUCGAUAUCUGCAAACGCUUUCUUGGAAUUUUCCUUGAAAGUAAGAUUGCCCAAACAAGCGGGUAGUGGACCAGAGAGAUGGUUUUGUGAAACAUCCAAAAUGCUUAAUUUUUCUAACAAGCAUAAAUGAUCAGGGAAGUCACCAUCAAAGUGAUUAGCCCUCAGAAGAAGAAAACUCAAUGAUGAAAGAUUUCCAAUCCAGUUUGGAAUGGAGCCGGUGAAGCUGUUAUUUCGAAGAUCCAUCGUAAUCAGGGAAGAGCUAUUAUAAAAUCCACAUGUUAAUGGACCACUCAAUCUAUUUUCGGAUAGAUGCACAUGGGUUAUUUGUGGUGGAUUGAAGCACGAUGGUAUAGAACCAGACAAGUUGUUCUCAGAAAGGUCUAAAUAUUCAAGCCCCUGAAGCUUACAAAAGUCUCUUGGAAUUGGACCCUUAAAAUGGUUUUUGGACAAAUCAAUUGCACUCAAUUGCGUAGAAUUGACAAUCCACCUUGGAAGCAUGCCUGAAAAUUGAUUGUUACUCAAAUCCAAUACAGUCCACAUUUUCUUCCACCCAUCUAAUGGAAAAUCUGAUAUCUGACCCCAAAAGUUGUUACCGCUUAGGUAGAGAAAAACCAGGCCAGAAGAAUUGACCACUGAGGCAAGUAAUUGCCCACCCAAAUUGUUGUUUGACAGCUUGAGAAACCCUAUUGUUGUUAGUUGUUUUAGUUUUACUGUGGACAAUUGAUUGUUGGAUAAAUCUAAAAUUCCCAAAGAGCUAAUAUUUCCUAAACAAGAAGGAAUACAACCUGUGAAUCCAUUCUUAGCCAUCCUUAAGGUGUAUAGAUUUGGAAAGAUCAAACAAAUAUCUUUUGAAAUUUGACCAUGCAUGUUGUUGUUGGAUAUAUCUAAUUCGGUCAUAUUUGGAUUUGGGUGAUCUUGCAAUUGCAGAGUACCAACAAAGGAGUUCUCGCUCAUAAAUAGUUGCUCCAAUCGUGUAUUGUUCUUAAGCAACCACGAUGGAAACAUUCCAGUGAUGUUAUUGUGGGAGAGAUCAAGGAAUCUUAAGUUGUAUUGGUAAUAAAGGAAGUUGGGAAUCUCUACAUUGACUGCUUUCGAUGUUGGACUAUUUGACAAGUGGAAAAAUACUAGUUGGAACUUUGGAAUCAAAUCAUGAAAGGACAUGGGUUCUGUUACUAGUCUGUUGUUCUCACUAGAGAAGAACUUAAGGCUUGAGUGGUUCAUAAAAUGCUUCCUUGAAAUGGGAACUUCAAAGAGGUUAUUUGAUAGUGAGAGGAAUUCAAUGGAUAUGAGGUUGGUAAGAGGACCAGAUGCAAUAUUUCCAGUAAACUAGUUUUCAUAAACAUCUAAUAGUUGUAGAGAUGACAAGUUUCCCAAACAAUCUGGGAGUGAACCUCCUAAAUUAUUUCCAUAGAGAUCUAAUUGCUCCAGAUUCUUCAAUUCACACCAGCCUGUACAAUUUAUCUUGAAAUAGUCAAAAUAGUGUCGAAAGAAUCUUGAGCGGAUUAAGAGUUGUUAAUUUACCUUGAGCGGGUAGGGUGUCAUUGAUGUUACAUUCACCAACAGACAAGACCUUAAGAGCUGGCAAUGCACCGAUGUCCUGGAGAAAGUUUAAUGGGAGAGAAGUAUAAUCUAGAUACAAUUCUUCAAGGGUGCUCGAAUUGAAAAAAGUCCCUGUGAAAAAGAAAGACGAAAAGGUAUGAUGAAAAUAGUGGUGGUACAGAGUAGCCAUUCCUUUCAAUAUUAUUAAUUAAGAUUUUAAGAAACUAAACACUGAUUAACUUUGACUUAAAUUAGUAUCCUUGGGAGAAGUGUUGAAAAAAUCUUGAGCGGAUGUAGAGUUGUUAAUUUACCUCGAGUGGGCAGGGUGCCAUUGAGGUUACUAUCACUAACAGACAAGACCUUAAGAGCUGGCAAUGCUCUGAUUUUCGGGAGAAAGUUUAAUGGGAGAGAAGUAUAAUCUAGAUACAAUUCUUCAAGAGUGCUCGAAUUGAAGAAAGUCCCUGUGAAAAAGAAAGAAGAAAAGGUAUGAUGAAAAUAGUGGUGAUGCAGAGUAACCAUUCCAUUCAAUAUUAUUAAUUAAGAUUUUAAGAAACUAAACUAUGAUUAACCUUGACUUAAAUUAGUAUCCUUGAGAGAGUCUUUAGGGAUGACUAUCCUUAAAUGAAGGUUCUUUUAUGUAUUUUUUUUUAUCUUUCUCCACACCACCAACUUUUAUUUAUUUUUUAUUUGUAUUAUUAUUUUUUUCUAAAAAAAUGAAUUUGGGGCAUAACCCAGGAAUGAGUUAUGAUAUUAUUGAUAAGAAAUUUUGAACUAUCAUUUGAUUUCAUUAGUUUUGAAUAAUAUAAUAUUUUUGAAGAUUUGAAAUGCUGCGUAUUUUUAAAUAACUUGUUCUUUUGAUAUAUUCGUUAAGAGGCUUAGUAUAGGUAGGGUGUCCUUUCGACACUGCUCCUACGUUGUCUGUCAUGGGCCCGAGAUUCGAGUCGUGAAAAAUUGAUCACAUAGAUAUAAAGUCCUUAUUUUUCUUGAUAAAGAAACAAUAUAAUUAAGAGAAUGUCAUGUGAAGUAAUUAGGUAGAAACUGUGUAUUAUACCUGAUCCUGUCAACAUAUUAUUUGAUAGAUCCAAAGAUUUGAGGGAUGAAAGCCCACUCAGAAUUGAUAAGAUGCUACUGUUCAAUUGAUUGCCACGCAGGUCAAGGUUCUCUAACUUUCCCAGCCUCACCGGGUGGAGUUGAAAACCUACAAGAUAUAUAAUUCUCAAAUUAUACAUAAAAAAAAUAUACCUUAAGAUAGGUUGUGUACACUGCAUAGAUUAAGAAAGAAGCUAGGUGGUUUUAUGCCUUAAGAUUGCGUUUUUGUCAAGAAGGAUAGAUUGGAAGUAUCCAUUUUGAUUAUUGUAAUAUAAUCAUCCUAAUAUAAUAGGUUGGAAACUUGCAUGGGUUAUCUUACAAUAAUUGUCAAAAAGUAAUUUUUAAUCUUUAGAGAUGAAAGCUUACAUGAUAGAUCUAAAGAGUACUUGAGAGAAUGUAAAGCUUACAUGAUACAAUAAUUGUCAAACAUGAUGAAAUGCUAUCAAUGAUUACUAAAUAGAUAUUAAGUCCUCAAUUUUCUUAAGAGAAUGUAACUUACUAUUGAUACCAGUAGAUCCUGUCAGCUGAUUGAAUGACAGAUCUAAAUGCUUGAGAGAUGAAAAUCCACUUAAAGAUGAAAAAAUGCUGUCGUUGCACUGAUUUCGACUUAGAUGAAGGUUCUCCAGCUUUUUCAACCUUGAUGACAAGACUUUGAAACCUGCAUGGUGUUUCUCAAAAGCAUAUUGGAUGGAAAUAAACACAUAGAAGCUAAAUCAUAUGAGAAGGAGAAAAGAAGAGGUUUCAAAGCUAAAUAAUUAAACGGUUUCCAACGAGAUGCUUUUAGUUCAAAGAGCAAAACAAACAAAGUACAAAAAGCAUAGAAAAAAUAACUUAAUUAUAAAUAAAUCAAGCUAACCAAAAGUCAGAUUAAUAGAAAGGUUGUACACUACAAAACAUCCAAUAGCUAGACAUACAAGACAAACAAUCAUCACAAACUAGGAACGACCGUCUCCCAGUAACAAAUUAACCUUAUGAAGUUGAACUUACUUUUGGUAAAAUUAUGUUUUGGUUCCUGUUUCGGAAAAAUUAUUGUUUUAGUCCCUAAACUUAGGAGACUAAACCUAGUUUUCUUUUAUGCAUUGGAAUCUUUUAAUUUAUUUGUCUUGUUUUUAGUAUCUUUUAUAUAUUUGUUGUAGAUUUACCUAACGAUCCUCAAUAGAAUUCUCGAGUCUUUCAUCUGAUAUUCUUUUUAGUUUUAAUUUUCCGGGUGAGUGAAAUAAUCUUUAAUAUGCAUGUAACAUAAAUAAAUAUGUAUGUAGAUUAUAUGAUGAGUACAACUAGUUAAUUUCUUGAAUAUUUAUAUAUGUUGCUUUAUUUUCUAAGUACUAAUCUAUUUUUUAAUUUGCACUUGCAUUUUGUUAAAUUAAAUUCUAUUUGAUAUGAUAUACACUGAUUUGAUAAUGAUGUGAAUAUACAUAUAUUAUAUCUUGAUAUAGGAUUUGUUAGUAACUUCAUGCUAACGGAAAGUAGUUAGCCUAUGUGCAUAUUAUUCUGUAUACUUAAUUGGUGAGAGAGGCACCAACCUGUGGUGACUAAUCCUCCCACAAUGAUCAUCUUCGAGUGUCAUUUGAUCUCUGACAUGUAUUCCACUACUUUAUGAUAAUAUGCUUAGUAUAUAUAUGUAUAUCAAAAUAAAUUAACUUGCAAACUAUUAAUAUCUAAAAUAAAUAUUAAAUAUUAUUCACUCACUAAGUUGGUUGAACUCACCCUUUAUUUUUUAUAUUAGUUCAGAUUCUUAGUUUAUAUUAGCAGGUGAACUUUGUUGAGUAUUCCUACUUCUUCGGUUUUGAUCGAUAUGCCUUACUUGUUUCGUGAGGUUAUUCUUUUAGUUUUGAUUCAAUGUCUUAGACGUUCCACUAUUACCUUGUUUUAAUUAAAUUUGGAUUUUGAUAAUGUAAUGAAUAUUAUGGAUUAUUGUUUUUGUUUUAAUUAUUGCCGCUCCUAUGUUGCUCGUCAAGGGCCCGAGAUUCGAGUCGUGAAAAAAUUGAUCAUUACAUAGAUAUAAAGUCCUCAUUUUUCUUGAUAAAGAAACAAUAUAAUUAAGAGAAUCUCAUGUGAAGCAGUUAGGAAGAAACUGUGUAUUAUACCUGAUCCUGUCAACAUAUUAUUUGAUAGAUUCAAAGACUUGAGGGAUGAAAGCCCACUCAGAAUUGAUAAGAUGCUACUGUUCAAUUGAUUGUCACUCAGGUCAAGGUUCUCUAACUUUCCCAGACUCACCGGUUGGAGUUGAAAACCUACAAGAUAUAUAAUUCUCAAAUUAUACAUAAAAAAAAAAAUAUACCUUGCAUAGAUAGGUUGUGUACACUGCAUAGAUUAAGAAAGAAGUUAGGUGGUUUUAUGCCUUUAAGAUUGCGUUUUUGUCAAGAAGGAUAGAUUGGAAGUAUCCAUAUAUUUUAUACAUCGUCACUUGUAAUUUUUAAUCAUCCUAAUUUUGAUCCACCUCACUUUAAUCUCUUCCUGUCUUAUUAGAAAAACAAUUUAUGGAUAAGUUGAAAGCUCCAUAGAUAAUAAAUCUUCAGAGAUGAAAGUGCAGUCAAACAUGAUGAAAUGAUAUUAUUGAUUAUUGAAUAGAUAUAAAGCCCUCAACUUUCUUGAUAAAGAAACCGUAUAAGAGAAUGUAACUUACUAUUGAUACCAGUAGAUCCUGUCAGCUGAUUGAAUGACAGAUCUAAAUGCUUGAGAGAUGAAAAUCCAGUUAUAGAUGAAAAAAUGCUAUCGUUGUAUUGAUUCCAACUUAGGUCAAGGUUCUCCACUUUUUUCAACCUUGAUGACAAGUCCUUGAAACCUGCAUGAUGUUUCUCAAAAGCAUGUUGGAAGGAAAUAAACGCGUAGAAAAAAAUGAUAUGUGAAGGAGAAGAGAAAAGGUUUCAAAGCUAAAUAAUUAAACGGUUAACAUAGAAGCUACCUGAUCCUUUCAACCCAUUGUCUGAUAAAUCUAAAGACUUGAGAGAGGAAAGCCCACUCAAACAUGAUAAAAUGCUUUUAUCAUUAUUAAAUCGGUUCUGACUUAGAUCAAGUACCUCCAGUUUUGAUGAUUGGACUUCGAAGCCUGGAAGAGAAACACCAAAGCAAAAUAAUUGACAUUAAACACAAGCCACUUCAUCAGCGUAAUUUCAGUAUAAGAUUCACACAAUAAUAUAAAUUUAUUUUAUGAUUAUAAGAACAGAAAGAUUGAACCAGCCUUGAUUCUCAAAGCAACCAACUAAUCCAUUAGAACUCAAAUCAAGACUUUGCAAUUCCUUAAAAGGCAAGAACAAAGAUGCGUUGAGAACCCAAUCCCCCAAACUCUGAUCCCUUGCUCCAAAAAGAGAGAGUUGGAUCACUCGUCUAGUAGUGUUAUCACACUCGAUCCCAGGCCACUCACAACAAUUACUACUGUCCACCCAAUCUCCCAAGGAAAGGUGAUUUGGAUCGAUCAAAGCUUUGAUCUCCAAGAGACCAGUUCUCUCUUCCUCCGAACAUCCAUAACUACCACACCAUUCGCCAACCAAAGUCAAUAACGCUAGCAACAUCCAAGCCCCCAUUUUUUUCACCAUCAUCUUAGAUAAUUCUAUGAACUACCACGUAGAAUAUUGUUGUUUGUUAUGUGAAUUUGGGCAACCAUAGAGGUCCUAUUUAUACUACACUAUGGCCAUUUCCAUGAUUUUUUCUGCGUAUCUUGUGCAGGUUCCAUGAUUUUAUCUGGGAGUCAAUUUAAGUUACUUGCAUGCCACCUUCUCAUCAAUUAUUGUCGUCGAGUCCUAUUUUGUGUUAAACGUUGGGUGUAUAUUAAAGUAGUCAAAAGUAGGAUAUCCCGCUUUCUCCAUUACUGUUCUGUAACGAUAUUUUGGUAGCCUUAUAGCACUCGCUACUGGAGAAAUUGAGCUCAAGCAUAAAAUGUCGUGUAUGCGGAUGCUUGACUUGCGGUGUGCCAUUUUGACUUUAAACACCACCAAGCAGUGAUUUCAUGGUGAUUUCCUUAUGCAUACUGGUGGUCUCCCAUAGUCACUAUUUGCCAAUAGUUAUGUGCAUUUGGGACUGUGAAUACUAUACACUUUUGGCUCUCUUAAUACAGUCAAUUGGAUUUCUUUGCUCGUAUGGGUGCAUUAUUGGGGAUGACUUUGACGCAUAGUAAAAAUGAACAAUUUUUUUAGUAAAAACAUAAUCAAAAUAAACCAAUUAUUUUUUAUAAAAUAUUAUUUAGCGGUUUGUAGAAUUGUUUGGCAGUAUAAGUUAUCAUCUCAUGAUGUUCAAAAAUUCAGGAACAUAAAAAUAAAGGGUUAUUUAAUAUUUAGAUAGUAGCUGAUUUAUAUAUUAAGUAUUUGAAUUUCUUUCCAAUCUAAAAAAUUCAAACUUCAUUAAGAUAAUCUUAAAUACCUGCAUGAAAAACAAUUCUAAUUGGAGAGACUUUAAGAUUCUAUGACGGUAAAGUUAGUAUCUUCUAAAAUAAUCAAGGUAGCGCUGCCUCUCUCGUACGGUGAUCAUUGCACAAGAUGUUGCAUUUAUUUUCAAUCAAGGAAACAACAAAGAGAUAUUAAUAGCUGUAAUAAUUCGUUGCAAGGACUGACUGGCUCCUAGUUUAGCUGUUCUUGAUUAUUUGAUCACUAAAAUUGAUUCAUUCAUAAGAGAAGAGAAUAAAGAGAUAUUUAAUUCUUAAGUAACGACGAUCUGUGGAGUCGAGCUACGGAAACCGAGAUGCUAUAUAACUGGCCUCCUCACUCCUCGAUAAUACAAUUCAAUCAAUCAAGUUUGAAGAAAUUGAUAGGCUAACUGUUUGCAUUAAAGCCGAAAUUGUAGCUGGCAAGCAUUAACGAAAGGUCUCUCCGUGCUUGGUGGUCGCUUCCUUGGGUCCAUUCCUUUACCUUCACCUCCGGCUAAGAAUUUCAUUGCCGGUGGAUAAAUCUGUUUCAGAACGUGAACGAUCUCAAGCUUCCAGUUUCAAAUAAAAAGUUUCAAAUAAGCUAUAAGCCUUUUUACCCGUCAUAGGCAGAUCCUAUUUAUAGAGGUCCUAUUUAUACUACAGUACUUUGGCCAUUUCCAUGAUUUUAUCUGCAGAUUCUAUGUUUUGAGACAUAUUAUAACAGAGAGAUUGUCGAUAAUAGCAAUCAUUUUCUUAUCUCCUGUAUCAUAUCUUCCCACAAAUCUUAAAUAAUUGAUAAGACUCGUGUCAUGAUUUUUUAUUAGUCACCAAAUUAACUUAGAUCAACUCUUUUAUAUAUAUAUAUAUAUAUAUAUAUUAAAAUAACAUCGUUUUUUAUAUAUAAAAAAUAAAUAAUCAAUAGAUUGCAGUUAGGUAUUUAGGUAUCUAUUAACCGAGUCACUUGGAUUUCUCAUUAUGCAUAUUUAAGAUUGCUAAAAUAAAAUAUUUAGUUUAAUUUCACAUAUAAGCUAAUUCGAUAACACUUUUUAAUAUAAAACAAAAAAAAAUGAGUGCUAUCGUCAUCAACUUUAUUUGGUGACGUUUGACAUAUAAAUUCUGUUCAAUUUAAAUCAACUUUUCAAUAAAUAGUUAAUGUUAAUAAGCACAGUAGCGAGAACUAAGCAGUGUUAUGUGUAUUUGGGACUGUGAAUACUGAAUACUGUACACUUUGGCUCUCUUCAUACAGUCAAUUGACUUUGACACAUAGUAAAAAUGAAAAAAAAAUUACUCCGUGGAUUUGUGAUUAAACUACAAUACUAAAUAUACCCACUGAUCUGUGGAUUUGUGAUUAAACUUGGAAAAAAACUACAAUACUUAAAAAGCCAUAUGUGAAUUUGUGAUUAAGAAAAUUCAUUAUUUUAUUUUUUGACAUAUUAGGUUCCAAUAGAUGCACCAAGUCAAUGUGAGUGGGUGUCCUUUUUCUUAUUUAUGAGGAUCCAAUAGAUGCAUAAAGUCUAAGGCUCCACAAUCACUAGUCAAUCCCUCCAACUUGUUGCGUAAACUACUUUGCUUUUUCUUCAUAUAUAGACAUGGAAAGUCAUGUGUUCUAAACAAUUGAUUUGAUCUUGUGGAAUACAUGGCAGAAGAGAUAAGAAAAUGACUUGUAUUAUCAACAAUUUCUUCCCUAACUUUUUUCAUGGAAUGAAGUGAUUUGCCGCUAGCUUGGUCGCACGUCUAAAAAAAUCCGCGCGGCAUCGGCUGGCGAUCUUUCAUUGUGUUGAUUUAAUUGGUUCGUUGGAGUCGCCACCUAGUAAUUUAUUGAAGGCUACUAGGAAACCGAAUGUACUGGUCUUGUCAGAGAUUCACGGGUAAGAGACUGAUUGUGGUUAGGAAAGGUAUUAGCACCCCUAACCCUACCUGAGGUAAGCUGCUUCGCGAAUUUGAUGUGUUUAAAAAAAAUUUAAUAAUUGUUUUUUUCAUCGGAUAUUAGAAAUACAACUUACGUAUAAGUUAAUAAUUCUUGACCGUGAUCCAAUCAAAAUAUUAAAUUCUUCUUUAACCUUUGCAAUUUCAUCAUAAAAAAAUAUAAAAAAAUAUAUAUAUAAAAACAAAUACAAACACACCCAUACACUUUCACUAUAUUUUCUUUUUUCUUUUCCUUUCCUUUUCCUUUUUUUGUUUUUUUACAUCCACAAUACAGAUUACAAAAAAUUCGAAACUAAAUAAAAAUUAUAUUAAAUAAUCCAAAUUUACAAAAUAGUCCCCCAAAAAAUCCAUAACAGUGCUGGAGAAGCUUUUUGAAAUUGCAUGCAGUGCUGAGGCAGGUCUCUGAACAGGUGAACACUGGCGGCGCGUCUCUCCCACUCGCCCCCGCCACUGGGGGCGCGUGGGUUCACGCGCCGCCGUGAGAGAGAGCUUGGAAACAGCAUAUCCCGUAUGGCUUCUUCUUCUUCUCUGUCUUCCUAAACCGUCGGUGACCUGCAGGACCAGAAAAGAAACACACACAGCAGUCGAUUUUAAUUUUUUUCUUUGAUUUCAAUCUGUUUGUUCUUUCUCUCUUCACCGUUUUAGAUCUUCUCCCCUCUCGGUUUCGCCCUCUUCUCUGUUGGUGUUCUCUACUGGUUGCUGGGGAUGAAGGCGAACAGAUCUGAGUCUGUGGGUGUCGCUUCGCUCUGGCUGUUAGAGCUGCGGUGGAGAUGGGAGGCAGUUGACCGGUCGGCGUCGCUGGUUGAAGGAGACGAAGAGGUUGCUGGUUGCUGCUGUUCGGCCGCCGCUGGGGGAAGCUUUGUCGCGUCUGUGCUGAUGAGGGAGACCGUGGCCUGCGGCCGGUGGAAGAGGGAAGAUCUGUCAGCUGCGGGCUGGAAGGCGGUGUUCUCGGUGGCUGAGAGAAGCGCCGCUGGGAGGGGGAAGGUCUGGUGCGUGGGGGGUGUUCGGAUGUGUUGCUGGAAAAGAAAAAUGGAGCUGCUGUCUUGGAGAAGGGGAGAGGUCGUGGCUGAGAGGGAGGCGGCGGUCUUGGUUUCCCAAGGAAGGGGGAGGCUGGCCGGUUCUGAUUUGUAGCGGGUGAGGGGUGUUAGAGGCUGGUAUGUGGCUGUUGGCAAGCCGGCCGGGGAAGAGGAAGAAGGAAAAAAAAUCCAGCGGGGAGGCUGGCGGCUGCCUCUUUCGGUGAGGGAGAGAAAAAGCUAAGCUUUUAGGGUUUCAGUUGCCUCUCCCCUCAAAUUUCAAAAUUGCCCCCCCCCCCCCUCUCCUUUUGUUUGAGUUGUGGACCAGUAUUUAUAGGUAAAAUGUUGCAUGGAUCUCAAGAUUGGUUCAUCCAACUUUUUUUCUUUUUUUUGUAAAUUUGAUUUUUCUUAAUUUUUUUGUAUUUUUUGAAAACGAGCAAUAUCAACGUCGACUCAAUGAAGAAAAUCAAUGAUUUUAAAAUAACGCGUUAAAAGUUGAACGCGUUCCAAAUAUCUUUGAAAAUUUAAAUUCUUUUGAUACGAUGCUAAAAAUGAUAAAAAAUGAUGCAAAUGUAUUAAAAACGUAUUUUUUUUUUGGAUUUUCAAUGUUUUUCGCUAUUUUUGAAUUUUUUCUGAAAAUUUAUCAAAACAUGGGUCAAAAAUUGGGUAGCAACAGAUGCCCCCUCUUUACAAUGCUUACGAAGCAAAACUCCUCAAUGUUUUGCGUAGUAAGCUUUGUAAAGAAAAACUUGUCUUUCUGUCUGCUCAAUAUCCACUCAUCUAAAGACCUUGCUCUUUUUUCUCUCUUUUUUUCUCUUCUUUUUUUUCCUGAGAUCCCAUCAGGCGAUCUUCUUGAAUGAAAACCAAAAUCUGCGUGGUUGGGCUAACCUGAGAUCUCGUCCGGCGAUCCCCUUUAACCAGAACCAAUAUCUUGUGUGUGGUUGGGCUAACCUGAGAUCCCGUCCGGCGAUCCCCUUUAACCAGAACCAAUAUGAGAUCCCAUCUGGCGACCUCAUUAAACCAAAACUAAAAAAAUGUGUGUAACUCGGUCAACCUGAAAUCCCAUCUGGCGAUUCCCUUUAACCAAAGCUAUUAUGGAAUAUAUUGAUGAGACUAUUUUCGAAAGGCGAUAUGGGAGAAUUGCACAACUAAUGAGGUUACCCGUACAAGCAGCAGCAAUCAAAGCCCUACUGAAUUUUUGGGAUCCUAGUUAUCGGGGUUUUACCUUUGGGAACAUUGAUAUGACACCGACUUUGGAGGAAUAUGAAAGGAUUCUAGAUUUUCCAAACGACAGCCACAGGAUCUACCUAAGGCGAAGAUUUGAAGACACAGCUUCGGAGGUAAUCAAUUUAUUAGGCUUGGGAAAGAUCAGUCAAUGUAGAGUCGCCGAGGGGGGUUUCAAAUGGAAAGUCAUUGAGGCCCGAAUGAAGAAAAAUGCUGAAGAAGGGAAGUUAGGAGAGGAACGAUACAGGUUGGUGGCCUUCGCCAUUUUUGGGCUAGUAUUGUUCCCUUCCGAAAUCGGAGUCAUCAGUUUGGAAGCAGCAAGUGUCUUCAUAGAAUACGAACGUGACCGGAUCAAUCCCUCAUCAGCCAUUUUGGGAGAAACCAUGUUAUCACUCAACCACUGCAGAAUGCAUGGAAAAGGAGCCAUGAGGUGUUGCGCCCCUAUGUUGUAUUUAUGGAUUAUCAGUCAUAUCGAAACACCAAGGGACAUUUUUAACAACUUUUGGUGGUUUGACCUGCGACCAUUAAAGGUUACCAUGGAUGAGACUUGGAAGAAUUGGGAUGAGAAAGCAUGGAUAGAUAAAUAUGCGGCAUUACCAAAGAGCAAUUUUAAAUGGAAAGCACCAUGGAUGAACAAUGCCAUCUGCACAAUGAGCUGUGGAAGCAAGAUAUGGGUUCCUUUGAUCGGUGUAACCGGGUACAUCAGUUACGCGCCCGCCCUGGUAACAAGGCAGUUAGGCGGAAUGCAGUACGCACCAAGAACUCUGGGUUUAGCUGAUUUCGUCGGUCUAUUCAAGCACCAACCCUUCCUCGAAGAGAUGGAGCUUAUCCGACAAGAUUGGGAAAGACCCCUGUUGGUAAAAAGGGAAGAAGGGAGCACGUUUGAAACAUCAUUUAGCCAGAAUUAUGCAGUUUGGAGGAAUGAAGAGCUUUCUGAAGUGAAGGUUUUCUCAAUACCAAAACAUCCAGAAUCCACAAUAGAGCAACAAAAAAGGAAAAGGACUGAUAAUGAGGAGGAGUUAAGAAAGCAGCUAGAACGAUGUGUAAUUGAUCUCAGUAAAAGUAAAGGGCAACAACAGUUAUUAGAAAGUCAGUUAGAGGAAGAAAACACGAUGAGGGUUUUCUUGAACCAGCAGUUGGAAAAACAGGAUAAGCAAUUAACAUCCUUGAAAGAAUGGCAGAAAAGGGCCGAGGUAGCGGAAGAAAUAGCAAAAGGGGUCCAGGCUGAGCUAAAGAAACGAAUGACCGAAUAUGAUGAGCUGGUUAAGAAGAAUGGGCUCGCAGAAAAAGAGUUGGCAAGGGUUAAAAGAUCAACAAAAGGCAAGAUGAAUGUUGACAAAGAGGUGAUGGAUUCCUUGAAGAAGGGAAAGAGCAUUCUUUCAAAGAAAAUAGAAGUUGAAAAGGAGAAGAAUCGGCUAGCCCAGCUCGACAUAGAAGAGGAAAGAAGGAUUAGAGCUCAAUAUAUGGUGCAGCUUGAGGAAGAGAGAAGUGCAAGAAAGGCCGCCGAGUCUGAUAUGAGAGAUUACCAGAAAAGAGCUGAGUCUUCGAAAGGAAGAAUGAUGGCUUUACAAUCUGAGAUCGAGAUACAAGUAGAAGAGUUGAGGGAGUUGAGAAGCCAUUACUUCGAGAUGGAAGAGGAGCUCAGUAAGGCUAAGCAAGAGCGUCAAGAAUGUCAGGGUUAGAUGGACAGCUUUACAGUCCAAAUUAACUCCAAAAUAGCCGAGCUGGAUAUCGAAAAGGAAGAACUGCAGAGGGUAAGGGAUAAGUUGGCCCGGUCGGAUGAUAUGGUUCGAGUGUUAGAAAGAAGUAAUGAAGCCCUAGGAGCCAGCAACGAAGUGAUAAUUGCAGAUAACACUGUGUUCCAUGAUAAGAUAAGGCAUAUAACGAAGCAGGUCGAGCAAGCAGCCCGUUAUGCGGAAAGGUUGCAACGACAAGCUACUCAAGUUGGAAAUGAUGCUUCAAAGUAUCGAGAAUAUAUGGCGGCCAUCACCUGUUUUAUUGGGGACUUAGCUAAUAGAGGAAAUGCCUUUUAAGGAUAGCAAUAUAUAACGCCCUUGUUCUGUUAUCACUGUAUGAGCAACUUCUAUUUAUAAGAAGGCUAUGACCUAUCUUUCUUUCUAAGUGUGUUUUGGUAAGCUACUAUGAUAAAGAACUUGGCAAACCCCCUUUACAGCAAUCGGGUCAACUCAGAAAUCUUGCCUAAAGGAUUACGAAAGUCAUGAAUCAAUUUUAAAAUAUACAUUUGCACGAGCAUCAUAUUUUCAUCACGCAUUUGUUUAAUUUAUCAUAUGCAUGCCAGAUCAUGAAACAUAGGUCCCACAUCCAAGGUCCACAACACCCGGUCUAGAGCAAGAAUGGAGAACGAAGAGAGAGCUCACUUAGAGUCACAUUAUCAAACCGAGUUGGAGUCCGUAAAAAAUGAAGUUUCUCGGUUAACUGAUUUACUUGAGCAGCUUCUAAGAGCUAAGAAUGCGGAGGGAACAUCAACACAACAGCCUGAAGGAGCGCCAGCAGCGCACGUCCCUCAAGUAUCCCAAAACCAAGGGGCAAACUCGGCCAAUGAACUACAUUUCGUGCCGAUCACCCCUAUCCAGCCAACUCACGCUCCAAUCACUGUGGACUUAACAACGGAGGGAGUCCCGGAUAAUAGGUCUCCCAGUGUGAUGGACCAAGACAAGCUAUUUGCUCUAGAAGAAAGAUUAAGGGCAGUUGAGGGUAAUGAUUGGUUUGACCCUAUGAGAGCAGCCGAAGUAUGUUUGGUACCAAACAUCGUGGUACCAAAAGAUUUUCGAAUACCAGAGUUCAUUAAGUAUACCGGUUUGGAAUGCCCAAACACUCACCUUCGAUCCUACUGCAACAAAAUGGCGGAAGUAAUCCGUGAUAAUAAAUUGCUAAUCUAUUUCUUUCAAGAUAGCCUAGCAGGAUCCACUUUAAGCUGGUAUAUGAGGUUAGACAGCAUUAGGAUCAAGAGCUGGAGAGACUUGGUGGAGGCUUUCCUCAAACAGUACAAGUUUAACAUGGAAAUCGCUCCUGAUCGAACAAGUCUAAUGGCAAUGGAGAAAAGGAGCCAGGAGUCAGUAAGGGCUUAUGCGCAAAGAUGGAGGGAUGAAGCAAUGCAUGUCCAACCCCCUUUGAUAGAAACAGAGAUGGUGAGCUUGUUUGCCAAUACCUUCAAAGCACCUUAUUAUGAGCACCUAAUGGGUAGCUCCUCUCAACACUUCUAUGAUGCAGUACGCAUAGCUGAGAGGAUAGAACAAGGGAUUAAGGCUGGGCGAAUAGCGAUGCCAGUGGAAAAGAAGGGUUUCAUUGGAAGAAAGAGAGAAGGCGAUGUUAACAAUCUGGAAGGUGGGUAUAAGGGCAAGAGAGUAGAUUUCCAUAAUCCUCAAGUACCUACCUCUCAAUUCUCACGCAUGAACUUUAACCAACCUUUUUCCCCUAAUCGAACAAAUAACCAAUCGAACUACCAAAAUCACUACCAAAGACCCCAUACAAAAUACACUUCGGAACAACUGCCACCCUUACCCAUGCCUUUGAAGGACAUGUACACCAAACUGUUGAGCAUUGGACAAAUAGCUCCUAUCCCUACACUACCACUACAACCACCAUUCCCAAUUUGGUACAAGCCCGAGUUGGCUUGCGAGUACCAUGGGGGUAAUCCCGGGCAUGGGAUUGAAACCUGUUACGCCUUCAAGAAGAGGUUGUUAGAGCUUAUUAAGAUGGGAUGGGUAUCCUUUGAGGACAAGCCCAAUGUUAAUUCAAACCCAUUGCCUAAGCAUGCCCCAAAUAGUAGUGGAAUAGGCAUGAUCGAAGUGGGAAAUCAAUGCAAGGUGUUGAAGGUGUCCAUGAAAAGAUUGUAAAACAUGUUGGUACAAUCAGGAUUUCUAAAGACAAAGGUGGAGAGCCAUUCGGAGGGAUAUGAUUACUGUGAAUACCAUGGAAGAGAUGGACAUCAUAUUGAGGAUUGCAUCGAGUUUUGCGAAAAGAUUGCAAAAAUGCUAAAAAUGGGGGAGUUGAGGAUUGAACCCAUGAAGAACAGCGGUGAGGUGAGUAUGAUGGAAGGUCAAGAUGAAAUGACAGGAGUAUGCAGGAUCCAGCCAACAGCUCAUGGGCCCCCAAGGCUAAUCUUGGUUAAACCGCCCUACACAAAAGGGAAUCACAAUGCCAUGCCUUAUAAUUAUGGUUAUGCCUCUAACGUUCGAGCUCCUCUUCCUUUGUUCCAGCCUGAGAUAAGUGGUUUGACCAGGAGUGGUCGUUGCUUUACGCCCGAGGAGUUGAGGAAGUCAAAGGGCAAAGAAGUGGUAGAUCUGGACAAAGCACUAGAAGUUAAUAAGCCAGUAACGGAAGAGGAAUCGAAUGAAUUCUUGAAGUUGAUCAAGCAUAGCGAAUAUUGCAUAGUGGAUCAACUAAAGAAGACUCCAGCUAGGAUCUCCCUUAUGUCCUUGAUACUCAGCUCUGAGCCGCAUCGAAACGCCUUGCAAAAGGUAUUGAAUGAGGCAUAUGUGCCCCAAGACAUUGAACAUAAAACCAUGGAGCAUCUAGUGGGAAGGAUCCAUGCAACUAAUUACCUGUACUUCACGGCUGAUGAGCUUGAUGCUGAAGGUACCGGACAUAACAAGCCCUUAUACAUUACGGUUAGGUGCAAGGACUGCCUCAUAGGAAAAGUACUCAUUGAUAAUGGCUCGGCCCUUAACGUGUUGCUAAAGCACAUGUUGGAAGAAAUGCCGAUCGAUGAAUCCCAUAUUAAGCCAAGUACUAUGAUGGCCAGAGCGUAUGAUGGAUCGCCUAGGCCAAUAAUUGGGACUUUAGAAGUGGAGCUAUACGUGGGACCACAAAUGUUCCUAGUAACACUUCAGGUUAUGGAUAUCCACCCUUCCUAUAGUAUGUUGUUAGGAAGACCUUGGAUUCAUGCAGCGGGGGCAGUAGCUUCGUCAUUGCACCAAUGCCUGAAGUAUAUCAUGAAUGAGAUGUUGGUAACCGUCAAGGCCGAGGAGACAGUAUCCAUGACAAAGAAUGUAGCUGUGCCUUUUAUCGAAGCGGGUGAUUGCAAGGGUAACAAUAUCCAUGCCUUUGAGAUUGUGAACACCGACUAGGUGCCGGAGAACACAGUGCUAAGAAGGCCAAGGAUCUCAGAAGCAGCAAGGAUGGCAAGUCUAUGCUUCUUGAACCGCGGAAUCCCAUUUCAGUAUAACCUUAUUAUCAGGAUGCCAGAAGGGGUUAAUCUGGCAAGGAUAAAAAGUGCUGCUCAAAGAUUUGGGUUAGGAUACCAACCUAACCAAAAGGAUUAUCGGUGGGCUGCUGGUCGGAGAAGGGCAAGAAGGAUGGCUAGAAUUAAAGGAAGAGAGCCUGAUGAAGAAAAGCUGGAAAUCCCUCCCCUUAGCGUGUCAUUUCCAAAAGCUGCAUACAUAAUGCAACAUGAUAAAGAAGCCGAAAGCCUUGAUCAAAAGCUGUCAAACAUGAGCAUAAAUACCUUGGGGGAAAACAAGGUGGAAGGAGAUGACAUGAAGACAGUAGCAAGAGAGGGAGAUGAAGCACUCCCACAACUGACGGUCUACACCAUAGAAGAAGUAUCCGCCAAGACCUUUGUGCGCAAGUUAGCUCAAGACGAGAAGUUUCAGAACUAGGUGACCCAAGAAGCUCCAGUGGUUUUCAAAAUGUAAACCAAUUUUGUUUGUCUUAACAUGCUUUUGUCAUUGCUUAUGUUUGCUUUUAUUUCCUCUAGUUGACAAUCAAGGCUCAUGAUGUCAGCUAGAUUUUAUGUUUGUCAUGGAGCCCACCUUUUCUUUAAAUAAAUUGUGAGAUCAUGCACUUUUCACAAAUUGCCUUCUUUUUUUAUGCAUUUACACCAAACACUUCCCGCUUUCAGGAAUCCUGAAAGCGGAUCUCCCACAACAUCACAUACAUUUAGCAUCAAGAAUAAAUGACCAAACUUGAAUGAGCAUGUGAUAGCUAUGGAAGAAGAAGAGUGGGAUGAAAGCAAUAUCAGUGAAUUCACUAGGCUAGUAGAACAACAGGAACAGACUUGGAAGCCUAUCGCCGAGGAACUCGAAACCAUCAAUGUGGGCAGUGAUCAGCUUAAGAAAGAGUUAAAAAUAGGUACCCUAAUUACUUCUGAACAAAGGAUAAAAAUGAUCACCCUAUUACAAGAAUAUUCAGAUGUCUUUGCUUGGUCCUAUGAAGAUAUGCCUGGUUUGGAUACAAAUAUUGUAGUACACAAGAUACCGUUGGAAGAAGGUUGUAAGCCAGUCAAGCAGAAGCUGAGGAGGGCCCACCCGGAUGUCUGGAUCAAGGUCAAGACAGAACUCGAGAAGCAAUGGGAUGCUGGUUUUCUAGAAGUAGUUAGAUAUCCGCAAUGGGUAUCUAACAUUGUUGUGGUGCCUAAGAAGGAGGGGAAGAUUAGAGUGUGCGUGGAUUUUCGGAAUUUGAAUAAAGCUAGCCCCAAGGAUGAUUUUCCGCUACCACAUAUAGAUGUUUUAGUAGACAACGCUGCCCGGAGUUCCACAUAUUCCUUUAUGGAUGGUUUUUCAGGAUACAACCAGAUAAAGAUGGCUCCGGAGGAUAAGGCGAAAACAACUUUUGUCACACCUUGGGGGACGUUCUGCUACAAGGUGAUGCCAUUCGGGUUGAAGAAUGCCGGAGCAACCUAUCAAAGAGCAAUGGUGACUUUGUUCCACGACAUGAUGCACAAGGAAAUUGAGGUGUAUGUAGACGACAUGAUUGCCAAGUCUAAAAGGGGAGAGGAUCAUGUUGAAGUUUUGAGGAAGUUGUUUGAGAGAUUGAGGAAGUUUGAAUUAAGGCUCAAUCCUGCAAAAUGUUCCUUCGGAGUUAAAUCGGGUAAGCUGUUAGGAUUUGUGGUAAGUGAUAGAGGUAUAGAGGUGGAUCCAGAUAAAGUAAGGGCCAUCCAAGCUAUGUCAUCCCCUAAGACGGAGAAAGAAGUAAGAGGAUUCUUGGGAAGGAUAAACUACAUUGCUCGGUUCAUAGCUCAGUUAACAACGACGUGUGAACCUAUAUUCCGACUACUAAGGAAAAAGAAUCCUGGAACCUGGAAUGAGGAGUGUGAGGAGGCAUUCAAUAAAAUCAAGCAUUAUUUACAAAAUCCACCUUUACUGGUUCCUCCGGUAUCAGGAAAACCUCUAGUAUUGUACCUAACAGUGACUGAUGCAGCCAUGGGAUGUGUAUUAGGACAGCAUGAUGAAACCGGAAGGAAGGAAAGAGCUAUUUAUUAUUUAAGUAAGAAAUUCACGGAGUGUGAGUCUAGAUACACGGAGAUAGAAAGGCUUUGUUGUGCGUUGGUGUGGGCGGCAAAGAGGUUGCGACAUUAUAUGUUAUACUAUACCACUUGGUUGAUUUCAAAGGUGGAUCCUCUGAGGUAUAUUUGUAACAAGCCCUAUCUCUCAAGUCGAAUUGCAAGGUGGCAAGUUCUAUUAGCAGAAUAUGACAUAGUAUACAUGACAAGGAAAGCCGUAAAAGGAAGUGCAAUCGCAGACCAUCUGGCCGAUAAUGCUGUUGAAGAUUAUGAACCUUUGGAUUUUGACUUCCCUGAUGAAGAUAUAUUGUCAAUAGAGAAAGAAGAAGAGAAGACAGAUUGGUGGACGAUGUGUUUUUGACGGUGCAGUGAAUGUAUAUGGUAACGGGGCCGGUGCGGUAAUAAUCUCUCCUGAUAAGAAACAAUAUCCAGUUUCGGUUAAACUACAUUUCGAGUGCACCAACAACACAGCUGAGUAUGAAGCUUGUAUCCUCGGUUUAGAAGCGACAUUAGAGUUGAAGAUAAAGAAGUUAGAUGUAUAUGGAGAUUCAAUGUUGAUUAUUUGUCAGGUUAAAGGGGAAUGGCAGACCAAGGAGGAAAAGUUAAGGCCGUACCAGGAAUACCUAUCCACGCUAGCAAAGGAAUUUGAAGGAAUUAGAUUCACCCAUCUGGGAAGGGAGGGGAACCAUUUUGCGGAUGCUUUGGCCACGCUAGCUGCUAUGACUACCAUUGAUCUCAAGUGCAAGGUACAACCGGUACACAUUGACAUUAGAAAUGACCCAGCUCACUGUUGCUUAGUUGAAGGAGGGAUAGACGGACAUCCUUGGUAUUAUGAUAUCAAGAACCUUGUGCAAAAUCACGAAUAUCCGGUAGGAGCUUCCAAAACGGAUAAGAAAACCUUGAGAAUGAGGCAGAUGGAGAGAUUUUGUACAAAAGAUCAUUUGAUGGGACCCUACUAAGAUGUUUGAAUGAGGCAGAUGCUAGAAAGGCAUUACGGGAGGUCCAUGAGGGGAUUUGCUCAACCCAUGCUAGCGGGCAUAUGAUAGCGAGGAAAAUCCAAAGGGCUGGUUAUUUUUGGAUGACACUAGAGAAAGACUGUAUCGAUUAUGUCAGGAAAUGUCAUAAAUGUCAAGUUUACAGUGACAAGGUCAAUAUGCCACCAGCUCCUCUAUUUAACCUAAUAUCCCCUUGGCCAUUUGCAAUGUGGGGAAUUGACGUGAUCGGUCCUGUUAACCCAAAAGCUAGCAAUGGUCAUAGAUUCAUCCUCGUAGCUAUUGACUACUUCACAAAAUGGGUGGAAGCUAGUUCAUAUGCCCACGUAACACAGAACGUAGUGAAGAGGUUUAUAGAGAAGGACUUGAUUUGUCGCUAUGGUCCUCCGGAAAAGAUAGUGACAGAUAAUGCACAGAAUUUCAAUGGCAAAAGGAUAGCAGAGCUGUGUACUAAAUGGAAAAUCAAGCAUUCGAAUUCUUCACCAUACCGACCAAAGAUGAAUGGCGCAGUAGAAGCCGCCAACAAGAACAUCAAGAAAAUUAUUCAGAAAAUGGUAGUCACAUAUAGAGAUUGGCAUGAGAUGUUAUCAUUCGCUCUUCACGCAUACCGCACUACAGUCAGGACCUCGACAGGGACUACCCCAUAUUCUCUGGUAUACGGUAUGGAGGCAGUGAUGCCGUUGGAAGUGGAAAUCCCAUCGUUAAGAGUAUUAAUGGAUUCCGAACUAGAAGAGGCUGAAUGGGCCAAGGUGAGGUACGAGCAACUGAACCUGAUCAGUGAAAAGAGGAUGGCUGCAAUAUGUCAUCACCAACUUUACCAGAAACGAAUGGCCAAGGCAUAUGAUAAGAAGGUUAGACCGCGUUUGUUUCGAGAAGGGGAUCUAGUAUUGAAGAAAAUAUUGUCACUACCUGGAGACGAUCAAAGCAAAUGGGCACCAAAUUACGAGGGUCCUUACGUAGUAAAGAAGGCAUUCUCAGGAGGAGCGCUGAAGUUGGCUAGAAUGGAUGGAGAAGACCUAGCUCGACCUGUGAAUUCUGACUCUGUAAAAAGAUAUUAUGCUUGAUGUAGGCUCCUAAAUCAAUAAAGCAAAGUUUGGUCAUUGACUUCUUUCUCUUUUUGCAUUGAUCUCACAACAAUCAUUUUUUUGCAUUAAUCCCAAUAGCGCAUAUUUUGUUGUUAUCGCACCUAAAAAAGUUUAGCAUCGGCUGAACGAAUUCCUUCUCUAUACAAAAGCCUAGACUAAAAUCACACCCCUACACUGGGGGCAAUAAGAGAUGUUUUCAUGAAAAGUUUUACGUGUUUAAAAUGUACGGAAGCCUAUAGAUUUGAAAACCAAGCUAAAGCAUUUGACAAAAGCAUGACAAAGAGGCAAUGACAAAUCAUACAUUUUGGGAAAAGGACUACUUAAAGAAAGUCAGAGAUUUCUUCUCCAAAAAUAUGAUAGGGGGCAACACGAGAGAUGAAUCCAGCAUGCGACUUCAAAAGCAAGCUCAGGUUAAGAAGGAGGCUCAUGAACUCGAAGAAGGUGAUGGGGCCUAUGUUUCAAAACCAGGUACGAAUGCAUGCAUGACAUCUAAUCAUAAAGCAUUGCAUAUAUGUUUUUUGGAUCGUUAUAGGAGGAGACCUUAAUGCAUUCCAACAAGAUUGGAGAUGAAGAAAGAAUCAUAGUGGAUGAUAGCAAAGAAUCACGGUUUCGAACCAUAGUGGAUUCUGGAACAACGAGAAGAACAAGAAAAAGAGAGAAUGAAAAGUUUUGAACCCUGCCAUCAGGAAGAACGACAUCGAUAUCAGCUUUGGUAAUAAGGAAUCGCCAGAUGGGAUUCCAAGUUGAUUAAAGGAGAUCGCCAGAAGGGAUCUCGUGUUUCGCUAUUUAGAGGUCGCCAGAAGGGACCUCGCAUUUCAGCUUUGAAUAAAAGGAAUCGCUAGAUUGGGAUUCCAAGUUGAUGGAGAUCGCCAGGAGGGAUCUCGUAUUUUGCUAUUUGAAGGUCGCCAGAUGGGACCUCAUAUGUUGGUUAAAAGGAAUCGCCAGAUGGGAUUCCAAGUUGAAUAAAGGAGAUCGCCAGAAGGGAUCUCGUGUUUCGCUAUUUGGAGGUCGCCAGAUGGGACCUCGUAUUACCUGUUGAAUAAAAGGAAUCGCCAGAUGGGAUUCCAAGUUGAAGGAGAUCGCCAGAAGGGAUCUCGUAUUUCGCUAAAAGGAAUCGCCAGAUGGGAUUCCAAAUUGAUUAAAGGAGAUCGCCAGAAGGGAUCUCGUAUUUUGCUAUUUGGAGGUCGCCAGAUGGGGCCUCAUAUUUCGUUUGAAUAAAAGGAAUCGCCAGAUAGGAUUCCAAAUUGAUUAAAGGAGAUCGCCAGAUGGGAUUCCAAGUUGAGGAGGGUUGCUGUAAAAGACAAGUUUCAGAUCAAUCAAGCUUCAACCAGAUCAGUUUCGGGAGUUCCGUUUUGGGUUUAUCUUUAUAAAACUUACUGCGCAAAGCCUCUGCUCCGUAAGCAUUAUAAAGAGGGGGCAUCUGUUGUAACCCAUUUUUGGGUCCCCCCAUAAAAAUAUAAAUAUAUAGCCGGAAGAAAUUAGAAAAAUAAUAAGAGGUGGGAGCGCUCAGAAAAUGGUCGGAAAAUUGGUCAAUGAGGUUAAAAAUACAAAGAUUGGAUUUUGGACAGUAUAUUCUUGAAGGAGGAGAGCCCUAUUGAGAGGGGAAUUUUGAAAUUUUGAGGAGAAAUGCCCAAAUUUGGAUGUUUAUGGACUUAAUUGGAUUUUUAAAUGAAUUUAUAGGAGAUUUGAUUGUAAGAAAAAUUGAUUUUUAAGUCAAUUUGGGCUUUAAUUAGAAGAAAUUUAAGUUCUGGGGCCGAAAUAUAUUUUUUAGGAAUUUAUUAGGUCAAAUCAGGGGCUUAAUUGCAUAAAUAUUGAAGUUUAAGGGCCAAUUAGGGACUUAAUUGAAGAAAUCUGAAACCAAGGACCGAAUUGGAAAAGGCGCGCAAGUAUAGGGGCUGCAAUUAACAAAAUCCGGGGGCCAAAUUGAAGAAAUUGAAAGUUUAAUGGCCAAUUAGGGACGAAAUUACAUAAAUCCGAGACCAAGGACCAUAUUGCAAAAGGCGCGUAACUUUGGGGCCGAAGGUGAAGUUAUGUCGGGACUAAAUUGCAUCAAAUCAGAAGUUUUAGGGUCAAUUAGGGAAUAAUAUUGAACGAAAUUGAAAGUCGGAGGACUAAAUUGAAAAUUCGCAAAGAAAUCCCUAUUUUUAUCAAAACGGCACCGUUUUGCAUUUUUUUUUUUAAAAAAAAAAAUAUAAAAACAAAUACAAACACACCCAUACACUUUCACUAUAUUUUCUUUUUUCUUUUCCUUUCCUUUUCCUUUUUUUGUUUUUUUACAUCCACAAUACAGAUUACAAAAAAUUCGAAACUAAAUAAAAAUUAUAUUAAAUAAUCCAAAUUUACAAAAUAGUCCCCCAAAAAAUCCAUAACAGUGCUGGAGAAGCUUUUUGAAAUUGCAUGCAGUGCUGAGGCAGGUCUCUGAACAGGUGAACACUGGCGGCGCGUCUCUCCCACUCGCCCCCGCCACUGGGGGCGCGUGGGUUCACGCGCCGCCGUGAGAGAGAGCUUGGAAACAGCAUAUCCCGUAUGGCUUCUUCUUCUUCUCUGUCUUCCUAAACCGUCGGUGACCUGCAGGACCAGAAAAGAAACACACACAGCAGUCGAUUUUAAUUUUUUUCUUUGAUUUCAAUCUGUUUGUUCUUUCUCUCUUCACCGUUUUAGAUCUUCUCCCCUCUUGGUUUCGCCCUCUUCUCUGUUGGUGUUCUCUACUGGUUGCUGGGGAUGAAGGCGAACAGAUCUGAGUCUGUGGGUGUCGCUUCGCUCUGGCUGUUAGAGCUGCGGUGGAGAUGGGAGGCAGUUGACCGGUCGGCGUCGCUGGUUGAAGGAGACGAAGAGGUUGCUGGUUGCUGCUGUUCGGCCGCCGCUGGGGGAAGCUUUGUCGCGUCUGUGCUGAUGAGGGAGACCGUGGCCUGCGGCCGGUGGAAGAGGGAAGAUCUGUCAGCUGCGGGCUGGAAGGCGGUGUUCUCGGUGGCUGAGAGAAGCGCCGCUGGGAGGGGGAAGGUCUGGUGCGUGGGGGGUGUUCGGAUGUGUUGCUGGAAAAGAAAAAUGGAGCUGCUGUCUUGGAGAAGGGGAGAGGUCGUGGCUGAGAGGGAGGCGGCGGUCUUGGUUUCCCAAGGAAGGGGGAGGCUGGCCGGUUCUGAUUUGUAGCGGGUGAGGGGUGUUAGAGGCUGGUAUGUGGCUGUUGGCAAGCCGGCCGGGGAAGAGGAAGAAGGAAAAAAAAUCUAGCGGGGAGGCUGGCGGCUGCCUCUUUCGGUGAGGGAGAGAAAAAGCUAAGCUUUUAGGGUUUCAGUUGCCUCUCCCCUCAAAUUUCAAAAUUGCCCCCCCCUCUCCUUUUGUUUGAGUUGUGGACCAGUAUUUAUAGGUAAAAUGUUGC
rnacentral:lncRNA from 1 species